CACGGGCUGUGGUGCUAAUUUGGCGUAUGCUUGCAUGUUUACCGCCGACCCAGAGAGUGAUGAGUUGCCGUGAGGAAUUUCACACCGGCCAAACGAAGCAUCAACUCAAGGAUCUCAAUUUAGGUCAAGGUAUUUGUAGAAACUCACAUAGAUAGUGUCUCAAUCAGGAACUUACAUUCUGUGCUAGGGAAUAUACUGGCUUAUUCCCUUCUUGUGUAAACAAGCAUUGAGACUGUGCAGUACAGGUUAGCUUAAGAGGGGAACUCGAGCGCAAGGGGACUGAUCUCAUGUGCUGUUUCACCAAAUUUUGGCCGUGCAUUUUGGUUCGCCUUUGUUGGAAAUAUAGAGCGUAGACUAUCUGCAGUAUCUAGGGAGAGGCAGCAAAGUGCCCCUUCUCCUCAUUUUAUGUUAUUUCGACCAUCAUUUUCUGCCCAUUCCUCCACCAAACUCAUGGAGACAAAGUUGUAAAUUGAGAUCAUUUUGUAUCUUUAGGGUGUACUCCCUCCGUUCCUAAAUAUAAAUCUUUAUAGAGAUUUCAAUAUGGACUACAUACAGAGCAAAAUGCGUGAAUCUACACUCUAAAUUGUGUCUAUAUACAUCCGUAUGUAGUUUAUAUUGAAAUCUCUAAAAAGACUUACUUUUGGGAACGGAGGGAGUAUAUCUUUUGUUUUUGUUUGCUCAAUCAGCAUGUAUCUACCACCGUUAGUAUGUGGCCGGGGAAAAUUGGGGCGCACAAAGAGCAGGUUUUUCAGAUGCAUGCCUCCUCCAAUGCAACAUCUAGUGUAAGGAAAGAUAUUCACACCCACCUCACCUUGAAACUCUAUCUUAUUCCACGCUUUAUCCAACCCCAAAAAAUAUACAUACUACACCCGUUUCCAAAUUAGUUCAAAUUUUAGGGUUGCCCUAAAUUCAACCCCGUAAAAGCUUUAACCAAGUAUACAAAAUAUAUGUAAACAUCUCAAACAAAAAAUUAGUUUCACUAGAUUCUUUAUACAAUAUUAGAUAUACUACAUAUAUUUGAUGUAGUACAUCUUAGCACAUUUUCUACGGUCCUUAUCAAAGUUAAAGUAGUUUGACUUGAGAUAAAGUAAGAACUUCGGAUAAUUUGGAGUGGAUAGAGUAUCAAGUUUUUAUGACCCAUGAUUGUAUUUUGAGAAAUUCAUGGUAAAAUCUUCUGUUUGAGAUGUAAAGAUGGCAAGGGCAUGGAACCAUUUUGACAGUGUAAACUUGUAUGUCCAGAGAAUUUAGCAAAAGGCAGCAAAGUUGUAGUAAAUUGACAUCAUUUCUGAGGAACCGGUCCCAUCUCCUGAUUUUAUGUCAUUUCGACCCUCAUUUUCUUCCCGUUCCUCCACCAAACUCACAGAGAGGAGUGUAAAAACCACCUUUGAUUUUUUCCAAGAGUUGACAGAGCAAUUAGCGUCUCACGCGUGUGUUGGUAGCCUUCGGGGAUCAAAACUUGUAACCCAUGCUAAUGUCACGGGCCUCUUUGGUUCGGAAAUAGAAGAAACAUAGGAAUUGGUUGUCGUGGCAUAUUGAAUUCUUCUGGAAUUGGAAACAUAUGAAUGUUUCACAUAUUUUGUUUGGUUGCACUAAACACAGAUUUGCUUCUUCUUUUGAAGUUAGGUGAAUGCCAUUGUUGUCAAUGAAACAAAAAUAAAUUCAUGAGGUUGGACUCAAAUGAAAAUUUCCAAUUUUUUAAAGUAGGCAAUAGAAAUUUCUUGUGGUUUCUAUUACUACAAACCAAACAUGCUACAUAAUGAAAUUUCCUAAAGAAUAGAAUCCUAUAGAAUUCGAGUGAAGUUCCUUUGAACCAAAGUGGUCCUAGAUAAUAUAAAUGUGUUGUUUGUGAAAAAAAUUAAGAUCGUAGUAUCUUACAAAGAUCUAUAUCCAUAUGUCAAUAGAACAUUAUAAAUUAUUGUGUACUGUGAAUAAUAAGCAUGUAAAAUCCAACAAUACUAUGUUCAUAUAUACUCCCUCCUUACCAUAUUAUAGUGCAUAUAAUAUUUUGAAAACUAACAAUUUGUAUGGAAAUUAUCAAUAUCUACAAUACCAAACCAAUACCAUUAGAUUCAUCAUGAAAUAUAUUUUCAUAUGAUAUAUAUUCCGUAUCACGAAUGUUUUUUUCCACAAACCAGGUAAAAUUUAUGAAAUUUGAAUUUUGAUAAUAUUCAUUGUUGGAAAUAUGCCCUAGAGGCAAUAAUAAAUGGUUAUUAUUAUAUUUCUAUGUUCAUGAUAAUUGUCUAUUGUUCAUGCUAUAAUUGUGUUAUCCGGAAAUCGUAAUACAUGUGUGAAUAUAUAGACCACAACGUGUCCCUAGUAAGCCUCAACAGAUAGUCAUGGUUUCCUGACUAUGGACAUUGGAUGUCAUUGAUAACGGGAUCACAUCAUUAGGAGAAUGAUGUGAUGGACAAGACCCAAUCCUAAGCAUAGCAUAAAAUAUCGUGUAGUUCGUUUGCUAGAGCUUUUCCAAUGUCAAGUAUCUUUUCCUUAGACCAUGAGAUCGUGUAACUCUCGGAUGCCGUAGGAGUGCUUUGGGUGUACCCAACGUCACAACGUAACUGGGUGACUAUAAAGGUACACUACGGGUAUCUCUGAAAGUGUCCGUUGGGUUGACACGGAUCGAGACUGGGAUUUGUCACUCCGUAUGACGGAGAGGUAUCUCUGGGCCCACUCGGUAAUGCAUCAUCAUAAUGAGCUCAAUGUGACUAAGGAGUUAGCCACGGGAUCAUGCAUUACGGUACGAGUAAAGUGACUUGCCGGUAAUGAGAUUGAACAAGGUAUUGGGAUACCGACGAUCGAAUCUCAGGCAAGUAACGUACCGAUUGACAAAGGGAAUUGUAUACGGGAUUGAUUGAAUCCUCGACAUCGUGGUUCAUCCGAUGAGAUCAUCGUGGAACAUGUGGGAGCCAACAUGGGUAUCCAGAUCCCGCUGUUGGUUAUUGACCGGAGAGGCGUCUCGGUCAUGUCUGCAUGUCUCCCGAACCCGUAGGGUCUACACACUUAAGGUUCGGUGACGCUAGGGUUGUAGAGAUGUUAGUAUGCGGAAACCCGAAAGUUGUUCAGAGUCCCGGAUGAGAUCCCGGACGUCACGAGGAGUUCCGGAAUGGUCCGGAGGUGAAGAAUUAUAUAUAGGAAGUCAAGUUUCGGCCACCGGGAAAGUUUCGGGGGUCACCGGUAUUGUACCGGGACCACCGAAAGGGUCCCGGGGGUCCACCGGGUGGGGCCACCUAUCCCGGAGGGCCCCAUGGGCUGAAGUGGGAAGUGAACCAGCCCCUAGUGGGCUGGGGCGCCCCCCAUGGGCCUCCCCCUGCGCCUAGGGUUGGAAACCCUAGGGGUGGGGGCGCCCCACCUGACUUGGGGGGCAAGUUUCCCCCUGGCCGCCGCCCCCCCUUGUAGAUGGGAUCCAGGGCCGGCGCCCCCCAGGGGGCCUAUAUAUAGUGGGGGGGAGGGAGGGCAGCAACACCACAACCCCUGGCGCCUCCCUCUCCCCCUGCAACACCUCUCCCUCUCGCACAAGCUUGGCGAAGCCCUGCCGAGAUCCCCGCUACUUCCACCACCACGCCAUCGUGCUGCUGGAUCUCCAUCAACCUCUCCUUCCCACUUGCUGGAUCAAGAAGGAGGAGACGUCGCUGCUCCGUACGUGUGUUGAACGCGGAGGUGCCGUCCGUUCGGCACUCGGUCAUCGGUGAUUUGGAUCACGGCGAGUACGACUCCAUCAACCCCGUUCACUUGAACGCUUCCGCUCACGAUCUACAAGGGUAUGUAGAUGCACUCCUUUCCCCUCGUUGCUAGUAUACUCCAUAGAUGGAUCUUGGUGAUGCGUAGGAAAUUUUAAAAUUCUGCUACGAUCCCCAACAGUGGCAUCAUGAGCCAGGCCUAUGCGUAGUUACUAUGCACGAGUAGAACACAAAGCAGUUGUGGGCGUAGAUGUUGUCAAUUUUUCUUGCCACUACUAGUCUUAUCUUGUUUCGGCGGUAUUGUGGGAUGAAGCGGCCCGGACCGACCUUACACGUACGCUUACGUGAGACAGGUUCCACCGACUGACAUGCACUAGUUGCAUAAGGUGGCUAGCGGGUGUCUGUCUCUCCCACUUUAGUCGGAACGGAUUCGAUGAAAAGGGUCCUUAUGAAGGGUAAAUAGAAAUUGGCAUAUCACGUUGUGGUUUUACGUAGGUAAGAAACGUUCUUGCUAGAAACCUAUACAAGCCACGUAAAAACUUGCAACAACAAUUAGAGGACGUCUAACUUGUUUUUGCAGCAUGUGCCUUGUGAUGUGAUAUGGCCAGAAGAUGUGAUGAAUGAUAUAUGUGAUGUAUGAGAUUGAUCAUAUUCUUGUAAUAGGAAUCACGACUUUCAUGUCGAUGAGUAUGACAACCGGCAGGAGCCAUAGGAGUUGUCAUUAUUUUUUGUAUGACCUGCUGUCAUUGAAUAACGCCAUGUAAAUUACUUUACUUUAUUGCUAAACGCGUUAUCCAUAGAAGUAGAAGUAAUCGUUGGCGUGACAACUUCAUGAAGACACAAUGAUGGAGAUCAUGGUGUCAUGCCGGUGACGAAGAUGAUCAUGGCGCCCCGAAGAUGGAGAUCAAAGGAGCAAAAUGAUAUUGGCCAUAUCAUGUCACUAUUUGAUUGCAUGUGAUGUUUAUCAUGUUUUACAUCUUAUUUGCUUAGAACGACGGUAGUAAGUAAGAUGAUCCCUUAUAAUAAUUUCAAGAAAGUGUUCCCCCUAACUGUGCACCGUUGCGAAGGUUCGUUGUUUCGAAGCACCACGUGAUGAUCGGGUGUGAUAGAUUGUAACGUUCGCAUACAACGGGUGUUGACGAGCCUAGCAUGUACAGACAUGGCCCCGGAACACACGCAAUACACUUAGGUUGACUUGACGAGCCUAGCAUGUACAGACAUGGCCUCGGAACACGGAAGACCGAAAGGUCGAGCAUGAGUCGUAUAGAAGAUACGAUCAACAUGGAGAUGUUCACCGAUCUUGACUAGUCCGUCUCACGUGAUGAUCGGACACGGCCUAGUUAACUCGGAUCAUGUUUCACUUAGAUGACUAGAGGGAUGUCUAUCUGAGUGGGAGUUCAUUGAGUAAUUUGAUUAGAUGAACUUAAUUAUCAUGAACUUAGUCUAAAAUCUUUACAAUAUGUCUUGUAGAUCAAAUGGCCCACGUUGUCCUCAACUUCAACGCGUUCCUAGAGAAAACCAAGCUGAAAGAUGAUGGCAGCAACUAUACGGACUGGGUCUGGAACCUGAGGAUCAUCCUCAUAGCUGCCAAAAAAGAUUAUGUCUUAGAAGCACCGCUAGGUGAAGCACCCAUCCCAGAGAACCAAGACGUUAUGAACGCUUGGCAAUCACGUGCUGAUGAUUACUCCCUCGUUCAGUGCGGCAUGCUUUACAGCUUAGAACCGGGGCUCCAAAAGCGUUUUGAGAAGCAUGGAGCAUAUGAGAUGUUCGAAGAGCUAAAAAUGGUUUUCCAAGCUCAUGCCCGGGUCGAGAGAUAUGAAGUCUCCGACAAGUUCUUCAGCUGUAAAAUGGAGGAAAAUAGUUCUGUUAGUGAGCACAUACUCAGAAUGUCUGGGUUACACAACCGCUUGUCUCAGCUGGGAGUUAAUCUCCCAGAUGACGCGGUCAUUGACAGAAUCCUUCAGUCGCUUCCACCGAGCUACAAGAGCUUUGUGAUGAACUUCAAUAUCCAGGGGAUGGAAAAGACCAUUCCUGAGGUAUAUUCAAUGCUGAAAUCAGCGGAGGUGGAGAUCAGAAAGGAACAUCAAGUGUUGAUGGUGAAUAAAACCACUAAGUUCAAGAAAGGCAAGGGUAAGAAGAACUUCAAGAAGGACGGCAAGGGAGUUGCCGUGCCCGGUAAGCCAGUUGCCGGGAAGAAGUCGAAGAAUGGACCCAAGCCUGAGACUGAGUGCUUUUAUUGCAAGGGAAGUGGUCACUGGAAGCGGAACUGCCCCAAAUACUUAGCGGACAAGAAGGCCGGUAACACCAAAGGUAUAUGUGAUAUACAUGUAAUUGAUGUGUACCUUACCAGUACUCGUAGUAGCUCCUGGGUAUUUGAUACCGGUGCGGUUGCUCAUAUUUGUAACUCAAAACAGGAACUACGGAAUAAGCGGAGACUGGCAAAGGACGAGGUGACGAUGCGCGUCGGGAAUGGUUCCAAGGUCGAUGUGAUCGCCGUCGGCACGCUGCCUCUACAUUUACCUACGGGAUUAGUUUUAAACCUCAAUAAUUGUUAUUUAGUGCCAGCUUUGAGCAUGAACAUUGUAUCUGGAUCUCGUUUAAUUCGAGAUGGCUACUCAUUUAAAUCCGAGAAUAAUGGUUGUUCUAUUUAUUUGAGAGAUAUGUUUUAUGGUCAUGCCCCGUUGGUCAAUGGUUUAUUCUUGAUGAAUCUCGAACGUGAUGCUACACAUAUUCAUAGUGUGAAUACCAAAAGAUGUAAAGCUGAUAACGAUAGUCCUACAUACUUGUGGCAUUGCCGCCUUGGUCACAUUGGUGUCAAGCGCAUGAAGAAGCUCCAUGCAGAUGGACUUUUGGAGUCUCUUGAUUACGAAUCAUUUGACGCGUGCGAACCAUGCCUCAUGGGUAAGAUGACCAAGACUCCGUUCUCCGGAACAAUGGAGCGAGCAACCAAUUUAUUGGAAAUCAUACAUUCCGAUGUGUGCGGUCCAAUGAGUGUUGAGGCUCGCGGAGGAUAUCGUUAUGUUCUCACUCUCACUGAUGACUUAAGUAGAUAUGGGUAUGUCUACCUAAUGAAACACAAGUCUGAAACCUUUGAAAAGUUCAAGGAAUUUCAGAGUGAGGUUGAGAAUCAACGUGACAGGAAAAUAAAGUUCUUACGAUCAGAUCGUGGUGGAGAAUAUUUAAGUCACGAAUUUGGUACGCACUUAAGGAAAUGUGGAAUCGUUUCACAACUCACGCCGCCUGGAACACCUCAGCGAAACGGUGUGUCCGAACGUCGUAAUCGCACUCUAUUGGAUAUGGUGCGAUCUAUGAUGUCUCUUACCGAUCUACCGCUCUCAUUUUGGGGCUAUGCUUUAGAGACUGCCGCAUUCACUUUAAAUAGGGCUCCGUCAAAAUCCGUUGAGACGACACCGUAUGAAUUAUGGUUUGGGAAGAAACCUAAGCUGUCGUUUCUAAAAGUUUGGGGAUGCGAUGCUUAUGUCAAGAAACUUCAACCUGAAAAGCUCGAACCCAAGUCGGAAAAAUGCGUCUUCAUAGGAUACCCUAAGGAAACCAUUGGGUAUACCUUCUACCUCAGAUCCGAAGGCAAGAUCUUUGUUGCCAAGAAUGGGUCCUUUCUGGAGAAAGAGUUUCUCUCGAAAGAAUUAAGUGGGAGGAAAGUGGAACUUGAUGAGGUGAUAGUCACUCCUUCCGAACCGGAAAGUAGCGCAGUGCGGGAAGAUGUUCCUGUGGUGCCUACACCGACUGGGGAGGAAGUUAAUGAUGAUGAUCAUGAAGCUUCGGAUCAAGUUGCUGCUGAACUUCGUAGGUCCACAAGGACACGUUCCGCACCAGAGUGGUACGGCAACUCUGUCCUGGAAAUCAUGUUGUUAGACAACGGUGAACCUUCGAACUAUGAAGAAGCGAUGGCGGGCCCGGAUUCCGACAAAUGGCUAGAAGCCAUGAAAUCCGAGAUAGGAUCCAUGUACGAAAACGAAGUAUGGACUUUGACUGACUUGCCCGAUGAUCGGCGAGCCAUAGAAAAUAAAUGGAUCUUUAAGAAGAAGACGGACGCGGAUGGUAAUGUUACCAUCUAUAAGGCUCGACUUGUCGCUAAGGGUUAUCGACAAGUUCAAGGGGUUGACUACGAUGAGACUUUCUCACCCGUAGCGAAGCUGAAGUCCGUCCGAAUCAUGUGAGCAAUUGCCGCAUACUAUGAUUAUGAGAUAUGGCAAAUGGACGUCAAAACGGCAUUCCUUAACGGCUUUCUUAAGGAAGAAUUGUAUAUGAUGCAGCCAGAAGGUUUUGUCGAUCCUAAGAAUGCUAACAAGGUAUGCAAGCUCCAGCGCUCCAUCUAUGGGCUGGUGCAAGCAUCUCAGAGUUGGAACAUUCGUUUUGAUGAGAUGAUCAAAGCGUUUGGGUUUACAUAGACUUAUGGAGAAGCCUGUGUUUACAAGAAAGUGAGUGGGAGCUCUGUAGCAUUUCUCUUAUUAUAUGUGGAUGACAUACUAUUGAUGGGAAAUGAUAUAGAAUUCUUGGAAAGUAUAAAGGCCUAUUUGAAUAAGUGUUUUUCAAUGAAGGACCUUGGAGAAGCUGCUUAUAUAUUAGGCAUCAAGAUCUAUAGAGAUAGAUCAAGACGCCUCAUUGGUCUUUCACAGAGUACGUACCUUGACAAGAUAUUGAAGAAGUUCAAUAUGGAUCAGUCCAAGAAGGGGUUCUUGCCUGUAUUGCAAGGUGUGCAAUUGAGCAUGACUCAAUGCCCGACCACGACAGAAGAUAGAGAAAAGAUGAGUGUCAUCCCCUAUGCCUCAGCCAUAGGGUCUAUUAUGUAUGCCAUGCUGUGUACCAGACCUGAUGUAAACCUUGCCGUAAGUUUGGUAGGAAGGUACCAAAGUAAUCCCGGCAUGGAACACUGGACAGCGGUCAAGAAUAUCCUGAAGUACCUGAAGAGGACUAAGGAUAUGUUUCUCGUUUAUGGAGGUGACGAAGAGCUCGCCGUAAAGGGUUACGUCGACGCUAGCUUCGACACAGAUCUGGAUGACUCGAAGUCACAAACCGGAUACGUGUAUAUUUUGAAUGGAGGAGCAGUAAGGUGGUGCAGUUGCAAGCAAAGCGUCGUGGCGGGAUCUACAUGUGAAGCGGAGUACAUGGCAGCCUCAGUGGCAGCGCAAGAAGCAAUCUGGAUGAAGGAGUUCAUUACCGACCUAGGGGUGAUUCCCAAUGCGUCGGGCCCGAUGACUCUCUUCUGUGACAACACUGGAGCUAUUGCCCUUGCCAAGGAGCCCAGGUUUCACAGGAAGACCAGGCAUAUCAAGCGUUGCUUCAACUCCAUUCGUGAAAGUGUUCAAAAUGGAGACAUAGAUAUUUGUAAAGUACAUACGGACCUGAAUGUAGCAGAUCCGUUGACUAAACCUCUCCCUAGAGCAAAACAUGAUCAACACCAGAACGCUAUGGGUGUUCGAUUCAUCAUAAUGUAACUAGAUUAUUGACUCUAGUGCAAGUGGGAGACUGUUGGAAAUAUGCCCUAGAGGCAAUAAUAAAUGGUUAUUAUUAUAUUUCUAUGUUCAUGAUAAUUGUCUAUUGUUCAUGCUAUAAUUGUGUUAUCCGGAAAUCGUAAUACAUGUGUGAAUAUAUAGACCACAACGUGUCCCUAGUAAGCCUCUAGUUGACUAGCUCAUUGAUCAACAGAUAGUCAUGGUUUCCUGACUAUGGACAUUGGAUGUCAUUGAUAACGGGAUCACAUCAUUAGGAGAAUGAUGUGAUGGACAAGACCCAAUCCUAAUCAUAGCAUAAAAGAUCGUGUAGUUCGUUUGCUAGAGCUUUUCCAAUGUCAAGUAUCUUUUCCUUAGACCAUGAGAUCGUGUAACUCCCGGAUGCCGUAGGAGUGCUUUGGGUGUACCCAACGUCACAACGUAACUGGGUGACUAUAAAGGUACACUACGGGUAUCUCUGAAAGUGUCUGUUGGGUUGACACGGAUCGAGACUAGGAUUUGUCACUCCGUAUGACGGAGAGGUAUCUCUGGGCCCACUCGGUAAUGCAUCAUCAUAAUGAGCUCAAUGUGACCAAGGAGUUAGCCACGGGAUCAUGCAUUACGGUACGAGUAAAGUGACUUGCCGGUAACGAGAUUGAACAAGGUAUUGGGAUACCGACGAUCGAAUCACGGGCAAGUAACGUACCGAUUGACAAAGGGAAUUGUAUACGGGAUUGAUUGAAUCCUCGACAUCGUGGUUCAUCCGAUGAGAUCAUCGUGGAACAUGUGGGAGCCAACAUGGGUAUCCAGAUCCCGCUGUUGGUUAUUGACCGGAGAGGCGUCUCGGUCAUGUCUGCAUGUCUCCCGAACCCGUAGGGUCUACACACUUAAGGUUCGGUGACGCUAGGGUUGUAGAGAUGUUAGUAUGCGGAAACCCGAAAGUUGUUCGGAGUCCCGGAUGAGAUCCCGGACGUCACGAGGAGUUCCGGAAUGGUCCGGAGGUGAAGAAUUAUAUAUAGGAAGUCAAGUUUCGGCCACCGGGAAAGUUUCGGGGGUCACCGGUAUUGUACCGGGACCACCGGAAGGGUCCCGGGGGUCCAUCGGGUGGGGCCACCUAUCCCGGAGGGCCCCAUGGGCUGAAGUGGGAAGGUAACCAGCCCCUAGUGGGCUGGGGCGCCCCCAUGGGCCUCCCCCUGCGCCUAGGGUUGGAAACCCUAGGGGUGGGGGGCGCCCCACCUGACUUGGGGGGCAAGUUUCCCCCUGGCCGCCGCCCCCCCUUGUAGAUGGGAUCCAGGGCCGGCGCCCCCCAGGGGGACUAUAUAUAGUGGGGGGGGAGGGAGGGCGGCAACACCACAGCCCCUGGCGCCUCCCUCUCCCCCUGCAACACCUCUCCCUCUCGUAGAAGCUUGGCGAAGCCCUGCCGAGAUCCCCGCUACUUCCACCACCACGCCGUCGUGCUGCUGGAUCUCCAUCAACCUCUCCUUCCCCCUUGCUGGAUCAAGAAGGAGGAGACGUCGCUGCUCCGUACGUGUGUUGAACGCGGAGGUGCCGUCCGUUCGGCACUCGGUCAUCGGUGAUUUGGAUCACGGCGAGUACGACUCCAUCAACCCCGUUCACUUGAACGCUUCCGCUCGCGAUCUACAAGGGUAUGUAGAUGCACUCCUUUCCCCUCGUUGCUAGUAUACUCCAUAGAUGGAUCUUGGUGAUGCGUAGGAAAUUUUAAAAUUCUGCUACGAUCCCCAACAUUCAUGCACUAUAAUUUGGCAAGGAGGGAGUACAAAAUCAAAAUUAGUAAAUAAUAUCUCCAUCAUUCUGCGGUGUUGCAUAAUUAUGGAUGGAGAUAUUAUAUUUUUUGAAGACAGGUUUGAAAUAUCUAAAACUUCUUCUUUUGUGUAAGGAAAAAUAUGAACAACUUAAGUUCCAAGGUUACAGGGACUUAGAUUAAACAACCAAACAACUAAGAAUAUUUUAAUUUUUCAUAAUUUGAAAACCAAAACAUUAAAUUUAAAAUAUAUAAUUUCCAAUUAAGGAUUCAAAUCUUAUCACAUAAACAUGCAAAUGGUUAGUGCUUCAAAGCAAUAAAUAAAUGUUUACCAUAGUGGGCCAAACCUAUGCCAGGCACAACCGCAUCUUGUUCAAGUGAUCGUUCAUUUGGUUGAUUUUAGUUUGACCAUUCAAUCGUUGCUUCACACACACCGCCUCAGCUUAUCAUAAAUGCAUUGCAUGUCAUAUGUUUUGAUCACAAAAGCACAACAAAAAACUUGAGAAAAGUACUCAAUUUCCUCAGAUUACAUACACAAAGCAAAAGGAAAACAAAUAUUUUAUACAUCACUUUGCUGUAAGCACACUCAAAUCUUCACUUGUUAUGGUUGUUUUGUCUAAGAAGAGCACAAUUAAGAAUAUAGUUGAAUCAUGUCGAUGUUGGACCCAAGAACAAAAUGGUUUAUGGGAUGAUGUAACGCCCACGAUGCGGCUAUAUCUCCCACGUGUCGAGGCACGACUUAGAGGCAUAACCGCAUAGUGGUUUUGUCGCAAGAAGGGUCAUCUUCACACAAUCCCAUGUAAUGAACAAGAAUGGGAUAAAGAGUUGGCUUACAAUCGCCACUUCACACAAUACAUAAUUAUCAUCAUACAUCAUCCAAAAUACAAUCAUAUAGACCGACUACGGUCAAAAUCCAGAUGAAAAUAAGAUAACCCCAAAUGCUAGAUCCCCGAUCGUCCCAACUGGGCUCCACUACUGAUCAUCAGGAAAAGACACAUAGUAACGACCACGUUCCUCGUCGAACUCCCACUUGAGAUCGACGCCAUCGUCUGCACUGGCAUCGUCGGCACCUGCAACUGGUGUUGGAAGUAUCUGUGAGUCACAGGGACUCAGCAAUCUCACACCCGCGAGAUCAAGACUAUUUAAGCUUGUAGGACAAGAGGUGCAAAGAGGUGGAGCUGCAGCGGCAAAAGCAUAUAUGGUGGCUAACUUGCGCAAAUGAGAGCGAGAAGAGAAGCAAUGGAACGAGCGUCAUCUGGCAAUGACCAAGAAGAGGUCCUGAACACCUACUUACGUCAAACAUAACACAGACCGUGUUCACUUCCCGGAUACCGCCGAGAAGAGACCAUCACGGCUACACACGCACUUGGUGUAUUUUAAUUGGUUCCAGUGACAAGUUGUCUAAAACCGGACAUUAACAAAUUCCCAUCUGCCUCAUAACCGCGGGCACGGCUUUCGAAAGAUAUUACCCUGCAGGGGUGUCCCAACUUAGCCCAUCAUAAGCUCUCACGGUCAACGAAGGAUAAACCUUCUCCCGGAAAGACCCGAUCAGUCUCGGAAUCCCGGUUUACAAGACAUCUCGACAAUGGUAAAACAAGACCAGCAAAGCCGCCCGAAUGUGCCGACAAAUCCCGAUAGGAGCUGCACAUAUCUCGUUCUCAGGGCACACCGGAUAAGUCAAGCUACGAGUAAAACCAGACCUCGAGUUUCCCCGAGGUGGCCCCGCAGGCUGCUCGGUUCGGACCAACACUCGAAGGAGCACUGGCCCGGGGGGGUUAAAAUAAGAUGACCCUCGGGCUCGCGAAAACCCGGGGGAAAAAGGCUUAGGUAGCAACUGGUAAAACCAAGGUUGGGCCAUGCUGGAGGAGUUUUAUUCAAGGCGAACUGUCAAGGGGGUCCCAUAAAUCACCCGACCGUGUAAGGAACGCAAACUCAAGGAACAUAAUCCCGGUAUAACAGUAACUAGGGCGGCAAGAGUGGAACAAAACACCAGGCAUAAGGCCGAGCCUUCCACCCUUUACCAAAAUAUAUAGAUGCAUUAAUUAAAUAAGAGAUAUAGUGAUAUCCCAACAUAUCCAUGUUCCGACAUGGAACAAACCUCAACUUCACCUGCAACUAGCAACGCUAUAAGAGGGGCUGAGCAAAAGCGGUAACAUAGCCAAACAACGGUUUGCUAGGAAAGGAUGGUUAGGGGCUGACAUGGCUAAAAUAGGAGACAUGAUAUAGCAAGUGAUAGGUAGCGGAGCAUGGCAAUAGAGCGAACAACUAGCAUAGCAAAGAUAGAAGUGAUUUCGAGGGGUGGUCAUCUUGCCUGCAAGAUUCUCAGAGUUGUCGAAAGCUUGAUCGUCGUAAGUGUACUCGACAGGUUCCUCGUUCACGAACUCGUCUCCCGGCUCUACCCAAGACAAGAACACAAGCAAAUGGAACGACAAUCAACAACGAGAAAUGCGCAAGCAACAUGAUGCAAGACAUGUAUGAUAUGCAAGUUAUGAUAUGCGAUGCAUAUCCGUGCUCCGGAAGGAAAAUGAUGGACAUGGCAGUAACUUGACAAACCAAGCAUGCCACUGGAAAGAUGAGAUGAUUUCGGUCGAAAUCGAUAUAAAGAUCACCGGAAUCGGAUGCACGGUUUGCAAAUGGCAAGCAAAACAAGAAUGACACUAAUCUGCGAUAAACAGCAAGAUAGCACUUAAAAUGCAACAAGCAACAAUGCUACAGCACCCCAACAUAGCAACAAAGCACAUGGAAGUAAUCUACAGGAGAUGCUUGACAAAAGAUGAACACUGAGCUACUGCUAGUCCACAACAUAUCAAGCUCAAACAAGCAUGGCAAUAGUGCAAAAGAUGAACACUGAGCUACUGCUAGUCCACAACAUAUCAAGCUCAAACAAGCAUGGCAAUAGUGCAAAAGAUUACAGGUUCACAGACUUAGUGAAAAACUGGACAUGGCAGAAAUUAGCAUCAGGUAGCAAUGUUCAGAGCACGAAAUCAACAUGCUACAGGAACUUAACAUAGCAAAACAAGGCAUGGUAGUGUUCUACUAAAUGCCCAUGACAAAAGUCCCUUACUGACCAUAAGCCAAAAUGACCAGAAGAAAUGAUGGCAAGCAUGUAAACAUAGCAAGUUUCGUUAUCAGGUUUCAGACUUAGCAGAAAACAGAGCAUGACAGAAAUAUUAAUAUGUAGGCCUCUUUGUGAGCUUGAUGCACUCACUACAGAGCAAUGCAUGAAAAACCAAGCACACCUACAGCAAGAUGGCAUGUUUAUGAAGCUAUCCAUGGCAAGAACAAUUGCAUAGCAUAUAUGGAUCAACUACAAUAAGCUUGGCAAAAAUGCAUGUCAUGUUAAGAAUCUGCCGGAAAUAUUUUAUAGCAAAAGUAGAGCAAGAUUGAGUCAUGCUAUGGUACUCUAAAAUUGCAAACAAUUGCAGGAAUGGAUCAAUUACAACUAUAUCUACAAAACAUCCUUACUGAACAUCUCCAAAAUAUGCAUGGAUCUCUCUCUAGCAUCAAGUUAACAUGGCAACAAAAUUACAGCAGACAAGGACUUAGAGAAAUCACUAAGUCCCUGAAAUCAGAAAUAUUACGGGGCCUACUUUGCAUGCUUGUGCUAGUCACCACAAAGACCACAAAAAUACAUGGACUAUACCACUGGAAAUAUGGCAUGGCAUACUUCAAAACACAUGUAGAGCUCAUGCUCAAAAUAUGCACAGAAUAAAUGAUACAAAAAUGACAAAUCUCCAAGUUCUGAUAAGAACCAGAGAUUAACAGCAACUAGCCCUCUUCCAACGAAGAUUUGGGCAUCAAGAUGACCUCUAAUGAAAAUGGUGCAAUUGAACAAAAUGAAGAGCAUCACGAGACGAACAAUUUGACAUAUUAUACGCGCGAAUCGGAGCUACAUGCACAAAGUUAUCGCAUCGGGAAAAGGAGCAUAUGCUAAGAAAAAUCUGGGACUUAGAAAAUAUUACGGACGCGAGGGAGGAAGUCAACGGGGCAGUACCGUACCAGAUCGGAUCUGGGCCGGAGGUCGGGCCCGAGCUCGUCACUCGGGACAGAGGAGCUCGCCGGCGUCCUCUGCCGGAGAGAGGAGGGAGAGGAGGAGGCGAGGCCGGAGGGCGCGGCCGGCGGUGGGGGUCGCCGGCCGGCGAGGGAGGCGGCGGGNNNNNNNNNNNNNNNNNNNNNNNNNNNNNNNNNNNNNNNNNNNNNNNNNNNNNNNNNNNNNNNNNNNNNNNNNNNNNNNNNNNNNNNNNNNNNNNNNNNNNNNNNNNNNNNNNNNNNNNNNNNNNNNNNNNNNNNNNNNNNNNNNNNNNNNNNNNNNNNNNNNNNNNNNNNNNNNNNNNNNNNNNNNNNNNNNNNNNNNNNNNNNNNNNNNNNNNNNNNNNNNNNNNNNNNNNNNNNNNNNNNNNNNNNNNNNNNNNNNNNNNNNNNNNNNNNNNNNNNNNNNNNNNNNNNNNNNNNNNNNNNNNNNNNNNNNNNNNNNNNNNNNNNNNNNNNNNNNNNNNNNNNNNNNNNNNNNNNNNNNNNNNNNNNNNNNNNNNNNNNNNNNNNNNNNNNNNNNNNNNNNNNNNNNNNNNNNNNNNNNNNNNNNNNNNNNNNNNNNNNNNNNNNNNNNNNNNNNNNNNNNNNNNNNNNNNNNNNNNNNNNNNNNNNNNNNNNNNNNNNNNNNNNNNNNNNNNNNNNNNNNNNNNNNNNNNNNNNNNNNNNNNNNNNNNNNNNNNNNNNNNNNNGCGGGCCUGGCGCGGCGGAGACGGCGGCGGGGGUGACGUGGCGCGAUGCCACUGGCCGGGAGCGGCGGCGCGUUUUGUCCGGCGGCGGCUGGACACGUCCGCCCGCGGAGAGGCGAUUUAGGGUUACGGGAGACUGCGAUUUCGUUUUCGGGAUGCCCACAUAUAAAUAGGUAGAGGGAGCUAGGAGACUCCAAAUGAGGUGCGGUUUUCGCCCACACGAUCGUUGAUCGAACGACCUAGAGCAUGGAAGAGAGUUUGGUGGGCUUUGGGCUGGUUUUGGAGGGGGUUUUUGCUGGACACUCAAAUGGACAUUGCGGAGGCCCGGUUAACCGUUGGAGUACCAAACGACCUCCGAAUGGAACGAAACUUGACCGGUAGUCUCCGGGUGGUAUAAUAAAACCACUUGACAAGCCUCGGUCCAUUCCGAGAAAGUUUGGCACACGCACACGAAAGAAAACUAGAGGGGUGCACCGGAGGAGAUAGGAGCGCCGGAUUGGAAAACGGACAACGGGGAAAAUGCUCGGAUGCAUGAGACGAACACGUAUGCGAAUGCAAUGCACAUGAUGAUAUGAUAUGAAAAUGCAUGACAUGACAAAAUACAAAACGAAAGACAAAGCCCAACAACGGAGGAAAACAAAACACAUAGCCGGAAAUGGCAAGAGUCGGAGUUACAAAUAUGGCAAGUUACAUGCGGGGUGUUACAGAUGAUUUGAAGCUUGCAACACCAUUUUAGUAUCUCAUGAUCGCGCUGAUAGGUAAAGUCACUGACGAUUCUUCUAUUGUCUUGUAGAACGGCAUGCUCGCGCCCACAAAGAACAUUGAUUCCCCGUAGUUCGUUUGAAGUGAGAUACAAAUGUUGGAGACAUUUUUGUAAGCACAAGUGAACCAAGGGGUAUGUACUUUCCAAAAUAAACACAGUGUCUCAUUGCAAAGAUUGUCACUCUACCAUUCAUGAUUCAAAACCAUGUUUAAAAAUUAAACAACUAGAUGCUCCUAGUUUACUUAAAUCAUUCUAGAAGCGAUAAACACUUAAAAUAGUCAAAUCUAUGUACACACUAGUAGAAUUGGCGCUAUUUUUAUGUUCAAUGGGGAUUAUUACAUGCAAUGUUAAUUCAACCAACUAAAAAUGCAUAAUUGUUAACUUAUUACUUAACCUAACUUGCAAGACCCAUUUGCCAAUUACACAAUUUAUACUCUGAUUUUUUAUAACUAUAUAUUAUUAUCUAAUAAUACACUAGAAACCACUAUUAAGAUAUUUUCUAGACAGUACGCUUUAGAGAUCUCUACCAUGAUGUUUAAUGAUAUUAAAUAUAUACGAACACAUACAUAAAAACAUAAAUGUACAUUUACUUAUUUAUACGCUUAUCAAAUUUAAUUCAAUUUUUAUUUUGGCAUAUAAUUCGAAUUUAAUAGAAAUAAAAGUAUGUACUACCACAUUGAAAUAUACCUCUUAAACAAGCAUACUAUACCUCUUUAUCAUUUUCAAUCUAUAUUAGUAUUACAUCUCAGUGUAAGUUUUAUGAAAAAAUCGUCGAAGCCCUUAGUUUAUGUAUACCUAUUUUACGUACAAAAAUUGCAGCUCACUUAUAAAUAAAAUGAAAUAAAAUAUGUGCCCUCAAAUAUAAUUUUUCAACACAUUUGAGUAUCUAGUAACUUUUAAUGAAUUAUAUUAAAAUGAUAAAGAGGUAUUAAUAAUUCAUAUAUGUGGUAUAUGAGGAGCGGGAGUACAUAUUCCCAGGAGUAUAUAACCAUUUUCCUAUAUAUAUUGAAAUUUUAUAGUAAAAAUAUAUCUAAUUAUUAUUAAAUAUGGUGCUUAAUUAUACUAACUAAGUAAUAGAAAAGUAUACAUUGCUAAGGCUCAAGUAAGUUUAAAGGAGUAUAAAUGUUAAGAAUAAAAAUAUUUAUUUUGAUUCGUCUGGAUUAAAAAGUUGUUUGGACCGCAACAAGUAAAGUUCUAGGUUCGCGAGCUAAGCAAUGGUGAUGUGUGUGAACAACACAUCUAAAAUAUCUUUGUGAUAGGGGAGAGGUUAUUUAUAGCAGUGUGAGUGGGAUGAUGCCUCGGUGAUGUGUGUAUGAUCAGGUGAGAGGGAAAAGAGUUGGCAAUGGAUUUUUUUGUGUAAUGAAGGUCUUAAUAACCUUUUUUAGACUAGAAUCAAAGAAAAAUAUUAGAAUCAUAGCAUCACCUCCCCUUUAUUUUAAUGCCGCAGUAAAACAACAUCGAUUUAUUUUAUGGAGCUAGGUACAUGGAUGAUCAGACCCUAGGCUGAAACCUCCGUCUCUUCGCUCUAUUCGACUGUAAGCGUCUCGAGUGCAGCGUGUUCCUCUAUGAUAUGAGACCGCCGAGGAAAAGGAAAACUGUGGAUAUCCACCUCUUUUCCUCUUCACUUGGCCAGGUACAUGCAAAAGUUGGAGCAUUUUGUGUUAUAAAGAAAGCAGAGAUUAGGCUUUGAUAAAGCUACCGUUAUGUACAUACUCGCUGUGGAUGGUUGUUCAAACCGCUCGUUGUCGUUCAGUAGUGCAUAUAUAAGGUUCACAAGGGACAACUCAGUUUUUACAAUUGAUUCAUUAUAAUUAAAUUCAUGACGAUCAUAUAUAGGUAGGAAGUUUAUUGGAUAGUACUCCACAGAACUAUCACAGAAUAUACAAACUACAAAGCUGGUACAAUAAUUAAGCAAGGGUGUGCGACCCUGAGUCAAUGAGGCUUAAGCACUUAAUCAAGUCUUAGUCGGUUUACGUCAUGUAUAUGUGCCUAGGGCUGUUUGGCUCAACUGGCUCGUUUUGUUUGUUCUGUACUUUUUUGGGUUGUUGUCAUAGACACUCGUUGUCUUUUGGUUGUUGUUUGUUUUGGUGGGAUUCACUUUUCUUGGUUGGGCUUGCCCAUGUUACUAACUUUCUGUGCUUUUUUCCUUUUUCAUCUGUGUGGCUUUUUGUUUCAUGAUGAAAUAAACUAAAUCAUUCCAGAAGUGUCUAGUAUGCAUAUCUAUCCAGCUGACUAAUAUAAGGCCAUCCAAGUAAAUUGUCAUUGGUGCUAAAAUAAAAUUUGUAAAACUUUUUUUGUAACCAAGCCAUUCCCACAAAUGUAAUAGCGAUGUUGUCAUUUCCAUAUUCUUUGUUAUCGACACCUCACUUCAUAAACAUGUGAUCAUGUUCACCAAGCUAAGUUUUUUGCUUAGGGACAAGCUGACUAUAAGCUUGGGGGAACUGAUACGUGCAUUCUGCAUCACCAUUUCGUAAAGUAAAUUGCACACAUACAAUUAUGUUUUACAUAUUAUUGCAUCAUUUUACCCCCAAAUUCCUUUUAUUUUGCAAGUUUGCAUUGAAGGGGGAUGCAAGAAAAAUGCUCAGAAAGCAGCAAAAAGCCACACAAGAUAAUGACUUUUCCGGAGCGAGGAAAAGCAAAACAAAAAUACAUAGGAUCUUUUUCGAGGAAAAGAAGCCUGGGCUAGGGUUUGACCGAUGGGGCCACAUGCCAUGCUCACGCGCCUCAGGCCCAAGGUGUGUCAGGCUCACUUGGCCUCCUCUUUGAAGCCUAUCAUCUUAUAUUGUUCCAAAAAUCCUAGGAGGAUUCUUAUCAUAUUUUCCGCUACCAUGAUGAAAUAGAUAAUACCAUCUCUCCAGGAGGGCUGAUUCUGCUGGGGAUCCACCUCCACAGGCCGAGGGAAUUCGACGCUAUCAUCAUGAACAACAACAAGGCAUCGGGGGAUCAUAUUGUUGGGAUACGUAGCAUGAAAUUUCAAAAAAUUCCUACGCUCAUGCAAGAUCUAUCUAGGAGAUGCAUAGCAACGAGAGGGGGAGAGUGCGUCCACGUACCCUCGUAGACCGAAACCGGAAGCAUUUGACAACGCGGUUGAUGUAGUCAAACUUCUUCUCGUUCCGACCGAUCAAGCACCGAACGUACGACACCUCCGAGUUCUGCACACGUUCAGCUCGAUGACGUCCCUCGAACUCUUGAUCUAGCAAAGUGUCGAGGGAGAUUUCCUUCAGCACGUCGACGUGGUGACGAUGAUGGUGAAGUAAUCUGCGCAGGGCUUCGCCUAAGCACUACGUGAAUACGACUGGAGGCGUAAACUGUGGAGGGGGCGCCGCACACGGCUAACAAUUGUUGGUGUGUUAUAGCGGUGCCCCCCCCAUAUAUAUAUAGGUGGGAGAGGGAGAGGGGCAGCAAGGGGCGCCCCAAUGAUAACCCACAAGUAUAGGGGAUCAAUUGUAGCCUCUUUCUAUAAGUAAGAGUGUCAAACCCAACGAGGAGCUAAAGGUAGAACAAAUAUUCCCUCAAGUUCUAUCGACCACCGAUACAACUCUACGCACGCUUAACGUUCGCUUUACCUAAAACAAGUAUGAAACUAAAAGUACUUUGUAGGUGUUGUUGGAUAGGUUUGCAAGAAUAUAAAGAGUACGCAAAUAAAAACUAGGGGCUGUUUAGAUAAAGACACAAUAAAGUUAGUAUAGCGAGUGUGGAAAAGUGGUGGUAGGAGUUGCGAAAUUGUCCCUAAGCAAUUGACUACUUUACUAGACCGAUAGCAAGUUUUAUGUGGGAGAGGCCACUGCUAGCAUGUCAUCCCUGACUUGGAAUUCUAUGCACUUAUGAUUGGAACUAUUAGCAAGCAUCCGCAACUACUAACUUUCAUUAAGGUAAAACCCAACCAUAGCAUGAAGAUAUAUUGGUCCCCCUUCAAUCCCGCAUGCAUCAAUUUCUAUGCUAGGUUGAAGCUUCUGUCACUCUUGCCCUCCAAUACAUAGUCCUAUCAACAUACAACUAACCCUAUGGUGUGAUCCACGCGCGCGCUCAUAUGAUGGGAACCAAAGGAUAGCAACAUAACCAGAAGCAAAUUAAACCAAUCAUAGCAAUUCACCAAUUACCGAUAGGACAACGAAAAUCUACUCAGACAUCAUAGGAUGGCAACACAUCAUUGGAUAAUAAUAUGAAGCAUAAAGCACCAUGUUCAAGUAGAGGGUACACCGGGUUGCGGGAGAGUGGACCGCUGUAGAUAGAUGGGGGAAGGUGAUGAAGAUGUUGGUGAAGAUGAUGGAGGUGUUGGUGUAGAUUGUGGUGAUGAUGAUGGCCCCGGCGGCGUUCCGGCGCCACCGGAAGAGAGGGGGAGAGGGCCCCCCUCCUUAUUCUUCCUUGACCUUCCCCCUAGAUGGGAGAAGGGUUUCCCCUCUAGUCCUUGGCUUCCAUGGCGGCGGAGGGGCGAGAGCCCUCCGAGAUUGGAUAUGUCUCUCUGUCUCUCUCCGUUUCUGCAUUCCGUGAUUCUGCCCUUUCACCGUUUCUUAAAUUCCCGGAGAUCCGUAACUCCGAGUGGGCUGAAAUUUGGACACGAUUUUUAUCCGGAUAUUGGCUUUCUUGCGGUGAAAGAAGGGCACCAACCGCCUUACGGGGUGGCCACGAGGGCCCAGGGCGCGUCUGAGCCCCUGGGGCGCGCCCCUCACCCUCGUGGGCCCCUCGGGCAUCGUCUCGCGUUGAUUCCACUUUCCAAAAUUCACAUAUAUUCCAAAAAAAUCUCCGUCAGUUUUUAUCCCGUUUGGACUCCGUUUGAUAUGGAUUUUCUUCGAAACAAAAAACAUGCAACAAAUAGGAACUGGAAUUGGCCACUGGAUCAAUAUGUUAGUCCCAAAAAUAGUAUAAAAAGUUGCCAAAAGUAUAUGAAAGUUGUAUAAUAUUGGCAUGGAACAAUAAAAAAUUAUAGAUACGACGGAGACGUAUCAGCAUCCCCAAGCUUAAUUCCUGCUCGUCCUCGAGUAGGUAAAUGAUAAAAAAGAUAAUUUUUGAUGUGGAAUGCUACCUAGCAUAAUAUUGAUCAUGUAAUCUAAUCAUGGCAUGAAUAUUAAGACACGAGUGAUUCAAAGCAAUAGUCUAUCAUUUGGCAUUAAGAGAAUAAUACUUCAAGCAUACUAAUAAAGCAAUCAUGUCUUUUCAAAAUAACAUGGCCAAAGAAAGUUAUCCCUAAAAAAUCAUAUGGUCUGGCUAUGCUCCAUCUUCACCACACAAAAUAUUCAAAUCAUGCACAACCCCGAUGACAAGCCAAGAAAUUGUUUCAUACUUUUGAUGUUCUCAAACCUUUUCAACUUUCACGCAAUACAUGAGCGUGAGCCAUGGACAUAGCACUAUAGGUGGAAUAGAAUAUGAUGAUGGAGGUUGUGUGGAGAAGACAAAAAAGGGAGAAAGUCUCACAUCGACACGGCUAAUCAACGGGCUAUGGAGAUGCCCAUCAAUUGAUGUCAGUGCGAGGAGUAGGGAUUGCCAUGCAAUAGAUGCACUAAGAGCUAUAAGUGUAUGAAAGCUCAAACUGAAACUAAGUGGGUGUGCAUCCAACUUGCUUGCUCAUGAAGACCUAGGGCAUUUGAGGAAGCCCAUCGUUGGAAUAUACAAGCCAAUUUCUAUAAUGAAAAUUCCCACUAGUAUAUGAAAGUGAUAACUCAAGAGACUCUCUAUAUGAAGAACAUGGUGCUACUUUGAAGCACAAGUGUGGAAAAAGGAUAGUAGCAUUGUCCCUUCUUUUUUUGGGCCUUCCCUUUUUUAUUUGGAAUUUCUCUUUUUUUGGCCUUUCUUUUUUUAUUUGGCUUUUUUUUCAUGGGACAAUGCUCUAAUAAUGAUCAUCAUCACACUUUUAUUUACUUACAACUCAAUAUUACAACUCAAUACUAGAACAAAGAUAUGACUCCAUAUGAAUGCCUCCGGCGGUGUACCGGCGGCGUAGCAAUGAUAUCAAAAAACGGACAAGCCAUGAAAACAUCAUGCUAGCUAUCUUACGAUCAUGCAAGCAAUAUGACAAUAAAUGCUCAAGUCAUGUAUAUGAUGAUGAUGGAAGUUGCAUGGCAAUAUAUCUCGGAAUGGCUAUGGAAAUGUCAUGAUAGGUAGGUAUGGUGGCUGUUUUGAGGAAGAUAUAAGGAGGCUUAUGUGUGAUAGAGCGUAUCAUAUCACGGGGUUUGGAUGCACCGUCGAAGUUUUCACCAACUCUCGAGGUGAGAAAGGGCAAUGCACGGUACCGAAGAGGCUAGCAAUGAUGGAACGGUGAGAGUGCGUAUAAUCCAUGGACUCAACAUUAGUCAUAAAGAACUCACAUACUUAUUGCAAAAAUCUAUUAGUCAUUGAAACAAAGUACUACGCGCAUGCUCCUAGGGGGAUAGAUUGGUAGGAAAAGACCAUCGCUCGUCCCCGACCGCCACUCAUAAGGAAUACAAUCAAUAAAUACCUCAUGCUCCAACUUCGUUACAUAACGGUUCACCAUACGUGCAUGCUACGGGAAUCACAAACUUCAACGCAAGUAUUUAUAAAAUCCACAACUACCCACUAGCAUGACUCUAAUAUCACCACCUUUAUAUCGCAAAACUAUUGCAAGGAAUCAAACAUAUCAUAUUCAGUGAUCUACAAGUUUUAUGUAGGAUUUUAUGACUAAGCAUGUGAAUGACCAGUUCCUGUCAACUCCCUAAAUAGAUAUAAGUGAAGCAAGAGAGUUUAAUUCUUUCUACAAAAGAUAUGCCCACGCUCUAACAAAUAUAAGUGAAGCAAAAGAGCAUUCUACAAAUGGCGGUUUUCUAUGUGAAGAGAAACAGGCAAUCCAAACUUCAAAUGAUAUAAGUGACGCACAUGAAGCAUUCUAUAAAGCCAUACUCAAAAGAUUUAAGUGAAGUGCAAUGAGCAUUCUAUAAAUCAACCAUGGACUAUCUCAUACCAGCAUGGUGCAUAAAAGAAAAGUGAAAACUAAAUGCAAAAGACGCUUCAAGAUUUGCACAUAUCACAUGAACAAACCGAAACCGAAAACAUACCAAUACUUGUUGAAGAAAGAUGGGAUGCCUUCCGGGGCAUCCCCAAGCUUAGACGCUUGAGUCUCCUUGAAUAUUUACUUGGGGUGCCUUGGGCAUCCCCAAUCUUGAGCUCUUGCCUCUCCUCCUUAUCCUCAUAUCGAGACAUCCUCGAUCUUCGAACACUUCAUCCACACAAAACUCAACAGAAAGUUCGGUAAGACCCGUUAGUAUAAUAAUGCAAAUCACUACUCUAAGUAUUGUUGCAAACCAAUUCAUAUUUUGUUUUUGCAUUGUAGCUACUGUAAUAUAACUUUUCCAUGGCUUAAUCCACUGAUAGAAAUCGAUAGUUUCAUCAAAACAAGCAAACUAACACUACUAGGGAAAACCCUAGCAGUAGCGCGGGUAUAAUGCCUAUCAGUAGCGCUGGUUACCGCGCUACUAGUAAGGCGCUACAACUAAAGGUUAGCAAUAGCGUUUAUUAACCCACGCUACUGCUAUGUCGACUUAGUAGUAGCGCUUUCAUCAAAGAGCGCUACUGGUAAUUACUAGUAGCGCUUCUCUCAGCCCGUGCUACUACUAUUAUUUCGUAUUUUACUUUUAUUUCAUAUCGUAUUCAUACACCUUUAUACAAGUUUUCAUACAACAGCAAUUUAGAGAUUGUUUUUACAUCAUAAUGAGUUAUUACAUCACAGGGUGAAAGAACCGUGGACUAGUUUCAAGUGGAUGGACAUCCACUUGAAACUAAUCCGCGGUUCUUUCACCCAAUAAUAUAAUAAAUAUCAUCAUCAUAUCAUUAACAACUUAUGAUCAUAAUACAUCAUUGUCAUAUAAAACCUCCUCACGAUCAUCGUUUUCAUCAAUGAGACAUCACAUAGCAAGUUGGUCACUAGUCAUAAUCACAACUACUCCUCAUCAUCAACUCUAACACAUUGUACCACAUAAUAAACAUAUUGUACCUCAUAGGACCUACUACAUUCUCUUAGGACCUACUAUAUUCUCUAAGGUAAAAUAGCAUAAAACAAGAUAGCCCCUGACUCUUCAUUAUGGAGAAUGGAGAUUAUCCUGUCUCCAAUUCUUGCCUUUCGCUUAAUGUUGCUUCCAAGAACCUCCUUACGACUGCCAAACAUUUUUUCCAUUCUUUGAUUAGCAUGUGUUCACCGGUUUUAGAAAUCCGAUAUGCACAGGUGAGAUCCGUAGGAUGACCUGGCUGUAUGUUCAGAACAUCAAGGCAACCAUUCUGAUACAUCAGAUGAGGCACACAAUCCAUCGGGAUUUUCUGUUGAAAAACAUAGUAAUAACUUCGUAGUUAGCAAUAUGUACUAGUUUUAGAAGUAUGCAAGAUGCACGGAUGUCGUAAUAGUAAAAAAUCUUACCAGGGUAUCUCCAUAGAAGUUACCGUGGUUCAACACAUGCACUAGUGGCACGUAUUCACCAUAAUUUGGAGGAGUUCGAUAAUAGGUAUUGUAAUUCUCAAGAUUAGUACAAAAUGCGAUUAGAUGAUUUUUUCUCCUUAUAAGUUAAUUCGGAGCCAUCAGUGUAGUGGGUUUUGUCUACCAUCUUCCGCACAUUCUUUGAAGAAUGAAAAUAAGCUAUCAAUGGAAAUAAGCUGUCAACUAUUUUGAAAUAAACAAUAUAAAUUAGUUAAUAACUAUGUUUGAGAAACUCACGUAGCGGUAGAAUCGGAACCGUAUCAACAAGGACCCAAAUGUCCAUAUUGUCUUGCUCGAUGUCAGGAUCACCAACAUCCAUGGUGACAAUCAUAUCCUCAUAAAAACCAUACAUCUUGCAAAGUGCUUCCCAAUUUUGGCAACCAAAAUGGGUUACGCUCUGAGAAUUGUACAGAUUUACUUCAAGAUCCAUAUCAUGAUGGGUCCUUAGGUGUAUUUUCUUUGUUUCAAAAUUUUCAUGGUCUUCAAAACCCAUCCUCUCCAAGACAUAGCGUCUUGCAUGGCAUGUGAUAAGCUAGUCGAAUUGUAAAAGAUGAAAAUUAGAUGUUGAAAUAGUUGAAGUCGUGCUUAAUUACGAAAAAACACUUGUCGUCAUUGCGUACCGUUUCAACAUCGAAGGUCUCCUCGAGCUUAAUGCUGAAGCGCCGAUCUUCGUCUAGGUGGGGCCUGUCGCACAAACCUCGAUCGUCGUGGCACCAGCUGCACUCCCCCGGGAGACUUUCGUCGUCCGAGUACGACAUUUCCUACGUUCAUAAUUCAAAGAUUAAACUUGUACAAUUAAAUAUAUGUACUAAAAAACCUAAAUUAGAUCAUUAUUAUUCAUCACGGGUUGACUAUCGGUCUGUCGAGUCUUUUCUUGAAAACUCUCAGCUCACAUGGUGUAUAUAUUCGACCAAAUUGUCUAGCACACGGGAAUGAAGGAGAAGCUACCCCCACGACAACAGUCGGGAUUCUUCGUCCUCUCAUAUAUGGUAGAGACUCUCCCUCACUGAUUCCUCUCUGACAUUUGUGACCGUCGGUGAUGGUCGUUACUCCUCCUUCCCCUAGUGCAUAACAAAGGUCUAGCAGAAGGAGAAGAAGGAGAAAUGACCCCCACGACAACAGUCGGGAUUCUUCGUCCUCUCAUAUAUGGUGGCCACAAAGUCAACCUGAAAUGUCGUUUAAUUAUUUUUCAAGAAAAUCCAGGCCACUCAAUAUUUCCUACAUAUUCUAGCACAAGUCAUGCCAGAAUUCACGGAAAAAUCCGUCAUGACCUUUGCUAAAAAAGGACAUAUCAAGCGCCUGAAAUUUGCUGGAACAGAAAUUAAUCAACACUCCGGCAAAACAUAGGCCACUCGGAGGUGUAACCUGAACAUGAUCGGCCACUUGGGCAACCACAUAUCCUAUUUGAGCAACACAAGAUAUACAUGUUUUUAUCUACAUCAUAUCUUAUAGGACUCAUAUUGACAUGGAGAUUUGGCUGGUCUCACCUCGAGGUCGGAGGGGUCGGUGACGGGGACGACGGCGGGGAUGAUGGAGGGGCUCCUUGAUUUCCGCAAAACAAAAACCCUAUAAGUUAUCACUAAUACAUCCCGAAUAAUUGCUUAAACUAAAAAAAUAACAACAAGUAUGACAUGUUCAACUAGUUCUAUUAAUUCAACUAGUUCUUACUAAAUAUAAACUUACUAUAAAUAGAAAAAAACUAGUUCUUUAUAAAAAUAAACUAGUUCAACUAGUUAUAUUAAUUUUCUUACUAAAAAUACAUUAGUUCUAUUAAUUCAACUAAUUCAACUAGUUUAUUAAUUUACUUACUAAACUAGUUCAACUAAAACUAAACUAGUUCAACUAGUUUAUUAAUUUACUUACUAAUUAUUUUAAACACUUACUAAAAAUAGUAAAAAAAACUACAUUAUACAAUAGUAAAAAACAUCUACUAUUAACCAUACUGCCCUAGUUAACUAGUACCAUCACUACUACUAAUUAACAUCUACUACUACUAAAAAUAAUUAUCUGUGAACCCUAAAUUAACAUCUACUACUACUAAAAAACAUCUACUAACUAAGCAAAGAGAGAGGGGUGGGGGAGGGGUGUGAUACGUCUCCAACGUAUCUAUAAUUUUUGAUUGUUCCAUGCUAUUAUAUUACCUGUUUUGGAUGUUUAUGGGCUUUACUUUACACUUUUAUAUCAUUUUUGGGACUAACCUACUAACCGGAGGCCCAGCCCAAAUUGCUGUUUUCUUGCCUAUUUCAGUGUUUCGAAGAAAAGGAAUAUCAAACGGAGUCCAAACGGAAUGAAACCUUCGAGAGAGUUAUUUUUGGAACGGAAGCAAUCCAGGAGACUUGGAGUGUACGUCAGGGAAGCAACGAGGUGGCCACGAGGCAGGGAGGCGCGCCUGCCCCCUGGGCGCGCCCCCACCCUCGUGGGCCCCUCGUGGCUCCCCUGACCGACUUCUUUCGCCUAUAUAUAUCCAUAUACCCUAAAAACAUCGGGGAACAGAAUAGAUCGGGAGUUCCGCCGCCGCAAGCCUCUGUAGCCACCAAAAACCAAUCGGGGCCCUGUUCCGGCACCCUGCCGGAGGGGGGAUCCCUCAUCGGUGGCCAUCUUCAUCAUCCCGGCGCUCUCCAUGACGAGGAGGGAGUAGUUCACCCUCGGGGCUGAGGGUAUGUACCAGUAGCUAUGUGUUUGAUCUCUCUCUCUCUCUCUCUCUCUCUCUCUCUCUCUCUCUCUCUCGUGUUCUUGAUUUGACACGAUCUUGAUGUAUCGCGAGCUUUGCUAUUAUAGUUGGAUCUUAUGAUGUUUCUCCCCCUCUACUCUCUUGUAUGGAUUGAGUUUUCACUUUGCAGUUAUCUUAUCGGAUUGAGUCUUUAAGGAUUUGAGAACACUUGAUGUAUGUCUUGCGUGGGAUACCCGUGGUGACAAUGGGGUAUUCUAUUGAUUCACUUGAUGUAUGUUUUGGUGAUCAACUCGCGGGUUCCGUGACCUUGGGAAUCUAUGCAUAGGGGUUGGCACACGUUUUUGUCUUGACUCUCCGGUAGAAACUUUGGGGCACUCUUUGAAGUUCUUUGUGUUGGUUGAAUAGAUGAAUCCGAGAUUGUGUGAUGCAUAUCGUAUAAUCAUACCCACGGAUACUUGUGGUGACAUUGGAGUAUCUAGGUGAAAUUAGGGUUUUGGUUGAUUUGUGUCUUAAGGUGUCAUUCUAGUACGAACUCUAUGAUAGAUCGAACGGAAAGAAUAGCUUCGUGUUAUUUUACUACGGACUCUUGAAUAGAUCGAUCAGAAAGAAUAAGUUUGAGGUGGUUUCGUACCCUACCAUAAUCUCUUCGUUUGUUCUCCGCUAUUAGUGACUUUGGAGUGACUCUUUGUUGCAUGUUGAGGGAUAGUUAUAUGAUCCAAUUAUGUUAUUAUUGUUGAGAGAACUUGCACUAGUGAAAGUAUGAAUCCUAGGCCUUGUUUCCUAGCAUUGCAAUAUCGUUUACGCUCACUUUUAUCGCUUGCUACCUUGCUGUUUUUAUAUUUUCAGAUUACAAAAACCUAUAUCUACCAUCCAUAUUGCACUUGUAUCACCAUCUCUUCGCCGAACUAGUGCACCUAUACAAUUUACCAUUGUAUUGGGUGUCUUGGGGACACAAGAGACUCUUUGUUAUUUGGUUGCAGGGUUGUUUGAGAGAGACCAUCUUCAACCUACGCCUCCCACAGAUUGAUAAACCUUAGGUCAUCCACUUGAGGGAAAUUUGCUACUGUCCUACAAACCUCUGCACUUGGAGGCCCAACAACGUCUACAAGAAGAAGGUUGUGUAGUAGACAUCAAGCAGUUUCUGGCGCCGUUGCCGGGGAGGUUAGUGCUUGAUGGUAUAUCUUUAGAUCCUGCAAUCGAAUCUUUUUGUUUCUUGUUUUAUCACUAGUUUAGUUUAUAAAAGAAAACUACAAAAAAUGGAAUUAAGGUUGCCUCAUAUGCUUCAUCUUUUUAAUAUCUUCCGUGAAAAUAAGGAUUCCGAUAAUUGUGCUCAAUUGCUAGAGGAAGAAUGCAUUAGAAUGUUUGGCACUAAAUCUUUGAAUGAUGAGCAUGAUUGCAAUGUUGUUAGUACGAAUUCCUUGAAUAUCCAUGAUGCUAAUGAUAUGCAAAGCCACAAGCUUGGGGAUGCUAUGUUUGAUGAAGAUGAUAUGUUUAGUCCCCCAAGUUUUGAUGAGAAUAUUUAUUAUGAUGAACGCAUGCCUCCUAUUUAUGAUGAUUAUAUUGAUGAAAGUGGGUUUGGAAGAGUGUCAACUUUAGGAAGUAAUGAUCCCACUAUUUUGGAGGGUGUUGAAUCUUAUAAUAUUUAUGAAAGUGGAUUUGGAGAGGUCAUGACUUUACUUAGUGAUGAAUCCACUAUUUCGGAAGAGGUUCCAAUUGAUUAUGAGAACAAAGUUGCUAUCUAUUAUGAUUAUUGUGAUGACAUGUAUGCUAUAAAGAACAAUGAUAACCAUGAAACUUGUCAUCAUGAUUUUAAUUUUCAAUUGGAUUAUGCCUCACAUGAUAGUUAUUUUGUUGAGUUUGCUCCCACUAUUAUUCAUGAGAAGAAAUUUGCUUAUGUGGAGAGUAAUAAAAAUUCUAUGCUUGUGGAUCAUGAAAAGAAUGCUUUAGGUGCUGGUUAUAUUGUUGAAUUCAUUCAUGAUGCUACUGAAAAUUAUUAUGAGGGAGGAAUUUAUGCUUGUAGGAAUUGCAAUAAUACCAAGUUUCCUCUCUAUGUGCUUAAAGUUUUGAAGUUAUGCUUCUUUUGCCUUCCUAUGCUAGUUGAUUAUUGUUCCCAUAAGUUGUUUGCUCACAAAAUCCCUAUGCAUAGGAAGUGGGUUAGACUUAAAAGUGCUAUUCAUAUUCUUCAUGAUGCUCUCUUUAUGUUUCAAUUCUUAUCUUUUAUGUGAGCAUCAUUGAAAUCAUCAUGCCUAGCUACGGGCGUUAAACGUUAGCGCUUGUUGGGAGGCAACCCAAUUUUAUUUUAGUUCUUUGCCUUUUGCUCCUGCUUAGUAAUAAAUAAAUCAUCUAGCCUCUGGUUAGAUAUGGUUUUACGUUUUAACUAGUGUUUGUGCCAAGUAAGACCUAUAGGAUCUUCUUGGAUGAUAGUUAUUUGAUCUUGCUGAAAAUUCCAGAAACUAUCUGUUCACGAAAACAAUUGUUUAAAAUCACCAGAACGUGAUAAAAUACUGAUUCCAAUUGCAGUAGAUCAAUAAACGAAUUAUCUAGCUAUUCCUAUUUUUGUAGAAGUUUUUGAGUUCCAGAAGUUUGCGUUAGUUACAGAUUACUACAGACUGUUCUGUUUUUGACAGAUUCUGUUUUCCGUGUGUUGUUUGCUUAUUUUGAUGAAUCUAUGGCUAGUAAAAUAGUUUAUAAACCAUAGAGAAGUUGGAAUUCAGUAGAUUUAACACCAAUACAAAUAAAGAAUGAGUUCAUUACAGUACCUUGAAGUGGUGUUUUGUUUUCUUUCGCUAACGGAGCUCAUGAGAUUUUCUGUUAAGUUUUGUGUUGUGAAGUUUUAAAGUUUUGGGUAAAGAUUCGAUGGACUAUGAAAUAAGGAUUGGCAAGAGCCCAAGCUUGGGGAUGCCCAAGGCACCCCAAGGUAAUAUUCAAGGACAACCAAGAGCUUAAGCUUGGGGAUGCCCCGGAUGGCAUCCCCUCUUUCGUCUCCGUUCAUCGGUAACUUUACUUGGAGCUAUAUUUUUAUUCACCACAUGGUAUUUGUUUUGCUUGGAGCGUCAUUUUAUUUUAUUUUGUUUUGCUUGCUGUUUGAAUAAAAUACAAAGAUCUGAAAUCCCUAAAUGUUAGAGAGUCUUCACAUAGUUGCAUGAUUAUUCGACUAAUCAUUGAUCUUCACUUAUAUCUUUCGGAGUAGUUUGUCGUUUGCUCUAGUGCUUAACUUAUACUCCCUCUGUAAACUAAUAUAAGAGCGUUUAGAUUACUAAACUAGUUAUCUAAACGCUCUUAUAUUAGUUUACGGAGGGAGUAUCUUUUAGAGCACGACGGUGGUUUUAUUUUGUACAAAUAGAUGAACUCUCAUGCUUCACUUAUAUUAUUUUGAGAGUCCUAAACAGCGCUAGGAAUCAGCUUCUUUGCCGUCCGCCAUGGCGGACGGCAAAGGCAUAUAUCACGGACGACAAACUUCUUUGCCGUCCGCUAGCGGACAACAAACUGUCCGGAUGAACACCUGCCAGCAAAGGCCAUCUUUGCCAUCCGCUUCUUGGAAAUGGACGGCAAAGGAAUAUGCCGUCCGCCAUCCGAGGCCAGCAGACAGCAAAAACAGCUGACGGCAGUGCGGUGGCGUGAGAGCCGUUAGGGGGUUAACGGCGAUCUUUGCCGUCUGCCAGCGGAUGGUAAAGAGUAAAAUAUCUUUACCAUCCGCUGGCGGACGGCAAAGAGCCCAGCUAGGCAGCACUGGGAAGCUGCCACGUGUCCAGAUAUGUCGUCCGCCAGCAGACGACAAAGAGGUUUGAAUCAUUACCGUCUGCUGGCGGACGACAUAGCUGGUCACUUUGCCGUCCGCUAGCAGACGGCAAAAUGACCAAAUAGGCAGCCAGUGUUCCCAGUUUGCACAGGUGACUGGCACGUGUCCUCUUUUCCGUCUGCUAGCAGACGGCAAAGAGGCUAUAUAUCCCCUGUUUUUAUUUAAAUCCCAUUAAUUAGACAUGGUUUCAAACAUAGAUAUACAUGCAUACAUAUCCAACAUAUCCAACAGCAUGUCCAACAACAUAUUUCAUCCAAUCCAACAACAUAGUUCAACAAAGUCCAACAUAUCCAUAUAUACAUAACCAGAAACAAGUUUCCAACAACAUAUGCAUAUAGACAUACAUAUCCAAACAAGUUUUCAUAAACAACAAGGAAGCACCACAAGAAUAGUGCACUCCAUGAAUCCAAGCUUCCUCAUGUAAAGCAAAUAUGCAAAUUGGGAAAGAUGAAAGUUAGAAGAAGAAGAAUAAUAAUAAUAAUAAUAAGAAGAAGACUAGUUAGAAGAAGAAGAAGAAGAAGAAUAUUUUUUUCUUCUCUUUCUUUUUCUCCUCUCCUCUUCUUUAUCUUCUUCUUCUUCUAACUAAGGUAGGUAAAAAUGUCAUUUUAUUGCUAAGCUAGGUAAAAAUGCUAAGUGUAGGUCAUUUUAUAGCUAAGGUAGGUAAAUAGGUCAUUUUGGAGCUUAGUAAGGUUAUUAUGUCAUUUUCGAGGAAAAUAAGCUUAGUCUAUAUCAUUUUGGAGCUAACAAAGAUUAUCAUGCCAUUUUUUACCUAAGUAUGCUAAGUAUGUCAUAAAUGAACUGAAUAAGCUAAGUAUAGCUUAUUUUUUAUCUAACUUAGGUAAUUAUGCCGUUUAGGAGGAAAAUAAGCUAAGUAUCCAUUUGUAAAGCAAAACACUAGAGAAAACUUACCCUCAUCACAACAAAUGUGAUGAAGAUCGCAACUAAGGUAACAAUUGAUCCAAUGGCAUAAUGAUACCAAGCCUCAUUAUCAAUGGCAUAUUUUCUAAUCUUCUUAAGCUUCAGGCGCAUUGCAUCCAUCUUCAAGCGCAUUGCAUUCAUCUUCAUCUUGUGAUCAUCGAUGGCAUCGGCAACAUACAACUCCAAUGUCAUCUUCUCUUCUUCAAUUCUUUUAAUUUUUUCUUUCGAAUACUCAUUUUCUUUUUCAACUAAAUUUAACUUCUCGACAAGAGGGUCCGUUUCAAAUUCCGGUUCACAUACCUCCUAGAUUAAAAUAUCUCUAUGUCAACUUGAUGGCCAUAAUUUGCAUAAAUGCGAAAUGCAACAAAUAGUUAUGAAAGAGAAUUUACCACAUCCGAAUCAUAAAGCGGGCGAGGGCCGACCGGGACGGAAAUCAAGACCAUGGCACUAUGUAUAAGAAACAAUCAUACAAAGUAAGAAAAUUAUAAAUACCAACUAUAUAAAUCAUACAAUCAUACAAAUAACUAUAUAAAUCAAGUACAACAUAAAAAUUUGAAUACCUAAUAAUCAUUAUCGGUAAUGACGUGCUCGUCAUCAUCAUUAAUAGAAGCAUCAUCAUCAUCACUAUCGGUAAUGACGUGCUCAUCAUCAUCAUUAAUAAAUGCAUCAUCAUGUGGAAGGCCACCUUUACGUAAUCGUUCAAGCAUUGACAGGUCAUCUGCAGCAGUAACUUCUUCUUCUUUUGGCUCUUCUUGUUCCAGCUUAGGGGUGAAGUCGGAUUCACUAUCGUUGUCUACUUCAAUGUUCUGGGAUGGAGUAGAGCGGUUCUUGAAACGUUUUUUUGGAAAGACCUGUUUCUUGGAAGAAUUCUCCUUCGUCAUAGGUGUCUUGGUUAAUGUGAGGUUCAUAAUCCUUUUCAUUGGGGGGAGGUGGUCUAACACAUGGCGGCACUUCAUAAACGACGUCCCAACCACUGAGAUUUGGAUCACUUUGACAGGCCCACGGUAGAUAGAAAACUUGGGUUGCCUGUUGAGCCGUAAUAUAGACAUCGGGAACAUCCAAAUGGGUGCUUUGUUUGAUUUCGACUAGCCCUAUAUGUUCACGAGUCCUUCUAGUCUCCCUCGGCUGGAACCAAUAACAUCUGAAGACUACGACGUUUGGUGGGUUUUCACCAUAGAAUUCAAGUUCAUAAAUUGCUUCAACUCUUCCAUAAUACUCGAUACCUCCUUCGUCGAUAGCAGAGACACAACAAUUAGUAGAUUUUCGGUCGGCCAUAGAUAGCUCUUUGCCAUAGGUACGAAAGUGAUACCCGUUGAUGUCGUAUUUGUCAAAUGAACGGACCUUAUAGUCAAAACCAUUAGCUACUUGUCUCAAUUCGGCAUCCAUAAUCUCAGAAUUAGCCUACAAGUUUAAUACGAAAGAAUUGUUGCAUUAGUCGCAAAUUAGCCAAAGAAAAAAAGGGUCUAAUGGAAAUUACCCUUUUUUUGAACCAAGAGAUGAAACCGGGAACUUCGGCUCCUUCUUUUGCCAGAAGCUCAUACUCUUCGACGGAAUCCUUUUGGAUCACCGCUCCAUACGAGAAUAUGGCAACGUAUCGAUUGCAUCAAAAAUCCAGGAAUAAGAGAAGUUCAAAGGAAUUAGAAGUUGUGAAACAAUGUACUGAGAUCUUACUCGAUGUACGGCCGCACUUCUGUUAGGUUGUUGAAGAGAUACAACGAAAUGGUCUGCCAUUCUUCAACAUCCAACCUUACUGGUUUCCAGCCACCGGCUGGUGCGAGAUUACCUUUGAAUAGGCUGAGGUUGGAUUGACCCUUUUGAGGUUCGUCAGCAUUGUACCGAGGCUUCGGAUUAUGCAAAUGACGAUUUUUGGCUUCGUAGUGUGCGGUCACGAAGUUUGCCGCCUCCUCAGUGAUGAAUGCCUCUGCCAUCGAUGCUUCUAUUCUACGUUUAUUUAUACAUUUUGCUCGAAGCGUCUUCUGCAUCCUCUCAGUUGAGUAGCACCAAUGAUUUUGCACGGGCCCUCCCAAUCGUGCCUCGGUCGGGAGAUGCAAAAUCAAGUGUUGCAUUGGAUUAAAGAAGCUUGGCGGAAAGAUCUUCUCUAACUUGCAGAUCAACUCCGGUGCCAACUGUUCCAUUUCUUCUAGGAGGCUAGGCGAUAGUUCUUUCACACAAAGAACACGGAAGAAAUAGCUCAGCUCUGCCAGUAUUAGCCAUUCAUCCUCAGGGAUGAAGCCACGCAACAUCACCGGCAUUAUCUGCUCAAUCCAUAUGUGCCAAUCAUGACUUUUUAGACCAAAUAUUUUCAAUUUUUGAAGACUCGCUCCCCUCUUUAGAUUUGCUGCAUACCCAUCGGGGAACAUCAACUGCAUUUUCACCCACAAAAUAAUUUUCUUCAUAGCUGGCCUUCCAAGAUUGAACCAUGCCUUUCGCUUCAUCCAGUUGAUCCCCUUUCCUUUCGGUUCUUUCAUGUUUUGUAACGGUCUAUCACAUAGCUCCUCUUGAUCGACUCUAGCCUUAGUAUUAUCCUUUGAUUUCCCCUCUAUGCCGAACAAUGUACCAAAAAUGGGUUCGGCGAUAUUCUUUUCAGUGUGCAUCACGUCGAUGUUGUGUGGGCAAAGGAGGCCUUUGAAGUAAGGCAGAUCCCAGAAGCAUGUCUUGUGAGUCCAGGCGUGUUCCUUAUUAUACCCCUUGAAAUACCCUGGACGCUCUAGAUCUGGCUCGAGAGCGUUUAACUGAUCUAGGGUCUGUUGGCCUGUCAACGCAGGUGGUGCAGAGUGUUUGACAACUCUACCUUUGAUGAAGUUCUUGUUGUCUUUCCUGAACUUAUGGCCAGGAUGUAGAAACGGUCAUGCAAGUCGAAGCAACUAUACUUGCGCUCAGCUGUAAGCCAACGAAACUCAAGAGCUCCCUUGCAUGUGGGGCACGGGAACCUUCCAUGCACACACCAGCCAACGAAUAGCACAUACGCCGGCAAGUCAUGCGUCGAGUACAUGUACCAGGCACGCAUUAUGAAGUUCUGUUUGCUAAAGGCGUCGUAUGUCUUGAACCCAUUAUCCCAAGCUUCUUGCAAUUCGUCCUUAAGCGGCUGCAUGUACACAUUCAUAUUCUUCCCCGGAUAGUUUGGGCCCUGGAAUUAUCAACGCCAGGAAAAUAUUCUUUCGUUGCAUAAUCUGCCCGGGGGGAGAUUGAGUGGAAUGACAAACACGGGCCAACAGCUGUAUGGGGCUGCCAUCUGACCAAACACACUGAACCCAUCUGUGCUAACGGCGACUCGAGGAUGCCUUGGAUUUGCCUUUUUUUUUCCUUAUGUAAUGCAUCGAAGCGCUUCCACGCUUCACCAUCCGAUGUGUGCACCAUCAUCACAUUCCCAUCUGCAUCUAGUUCGGUUCUUUUGCCUGUUCUGUGCCAUGUCAUCUAUCUGGCCGUCUCUUCGACCAUGAAAAGACGUUGAAGUCUUGGUAUGAUUGGCAUAUACCGAAGAACAUUAACGGGUAUUUUGGUCUGCGUCUUCUCACCCAUACCGUUGUCUACCACAACAUACCCGGAAGAAUUGCAAAUGGGACAAUAGUUCAAGUCCUUAUACUGAAGCCUAAAUAAGACACAUCCUUUCUCACAGGCAUGUAUCUUCUCAUAGGGCAUCUUAAGAGCAUGGAGGAUUUUGUCUGACUGGUACAGGUUUGGAGGUAGCACAUGGCCUUCGGGUAGAAAUCGUCCGAAUACUGUCAUCAUCGCGUCGUAGCAUUCUCUGCCCAAGUUGAAUUGAGCCUUCAAAUCCAUUAUUUGUGAGAUGGCAUCCAGUUGACAAAGCUCAGUGUGCUCGUGGAGAGGACGUUUUGAGGACUCCAACAUUUUAGUGAAGGCCUUUGCAGAUUCCUCCAUCUCCUCGUCUGAGUCCCGAGCAUCGUCAAAGUCUUGCACCAUGUCUGCGGUCCCGGUACCAUGCUCGUCGGUGCGACGACGAACCUCGGCUCUGGCACGUUGGGCAGACUCACCAUAUAAUGUCCAAACCGUGUAACCAGGCGUAAAACCAAACUUCUGCAGGUCUUUACUUAUUUCAAGCUCGCCCCUCUUUUUAUAGUUGUCGCAAUGGGCACAGGGGAACCAGCUAAAUUCCUGGCCAUUUGAAAAUGCGGCUCUAACAAACCCCUUGGUUUUUGUUAACCAUUCCUCGGUCCAAACUUUCUGACUAGUGUAACCGGUGUACAUCCAUGCACGAUCACUCAUAUUGACUUCCUACUGGACACACAAGAAAUAUAUACAUAAUUAAGCAAACCAUAUCCAUCAGUGAAUGGAGUUUGUUAGUUUUAUUACGUCCAUGCAACCUACACGCUAAUAGGUAAAGAUAGGUCCUAAUCCCACCCGAGUAUGUGUAGAUCGGGUUCGUUUUCCCAUGCUCUGCUCCGAAUCCGACGCAAAAUUUCGGCAGCACCUCCCCGCUAUUCUCCUGAUACACGUCUCGGCAAUAAGCAGAGGAAUGUGUACCCAAGAACAACAGGGAGGCACUAACAAAAUUCUACAUCGGACCCGGAGCUGAGCAUAUGGGAAAACGAACCCAAUCUACACAUACUUGGGUGCUACCUCUUGAGCACUGCGUUGGUUUUCCCUUGAAGAGGAAAGGGUGAUGCAGCAAAGUAGCGUAAGUAUUUCCCUCAGUUUUUGAGAACCAAGGUAUCAAUCCAGUAGGAGGCCACGCACGAGUCCCUCGCACCUACACAAACAAAUAAAUCCUCGCAACCAACGCGAUAAGGGGUUGUCAAUCCCUACACGGUCACUUACGAGAGUGAGAUCUGAUAGAUAUGAUAAGAUAAUAAUUUUGGUAUUUUUAUGAUAAAGAUGCAAAGUAAAGAAAGCAAAAUAAAGACGACGCUAGAAAUAGCUAAGUGUUGGAAGAUUAAUAUGAGGGAAAAUAGACCCGGUGGCCAUAGGUUUCACUAGUGGCUUCUCUCAAGAGCAUAAGUAUUUACGGUGGGUGAACAAAUUACUGUUGAGUAAUUGACAGAAUUGAGCAUAGUUAUGAGAAUAUCUAGGUAUGAUCAUGUAUAUAGGCAUCACGCCUGAGACAAGUAGACCGACUCCUGCCUGCAUCUACUACUAUUACUCCACACAUCGACCGCUAUCCAGCAUGCAUCUAGAGUAUUAAGUUCAUAAGAACAGAGUAAUGCUUUAAGCAAGAUAACAUGAUGUAGAGGGAUAAACUCAUGCAAUAUGAUAUAAACCCCAUCUUGUUAUCCUCGAUGGCAACAAUACAAUACGUGCCUUGCUGCCCCUACUGUCACUGGGAAAGGACACCUCAAGAUUGAACCCAAAGCUAAGCACUUCUCCUAUUGCAAGAAAGAUCAGUCUAGUAGGCCAAACCAAACUGAUAAUUCAAAGAGACUUGCAAAGAUAACCGAUCAUACAUAAAAGAAUUUAGAAGAUUCAAAUAUUGUUCAUAGAUAAACUUGAUCAUAAACCCACAAUUCAUCGGUCUCAACAAACACACCGCAAAAGAAGAUUACAUCGAAUAGAUCUCCACAAGAGAGGGGGAGAACAUUGUAUUGAGAUCCAAAAAGAGAGAAGAAGCCAUCUAGCUAAUAACUAUGGACCCGAAGGUCUGAGGUAAACUACUCACACUUCAUCGGAGAGGCUAUGGUGUUGAUGUAGAAGCCCUCCGUGAUCGAUGCCCCCUCUGGCGGAGCUCCGGAACAGGCCCCAAGAUGGGAUCUCAUGGGUACAGAAGGUUGCGACGGUGGAAUUAGGUUUUUGGCUCCGUAUCUGGUAGUUUGGGGGUACGUAGGUAUAUAUAGGAGGAAGGAGUACGUCCGUGGAGCAACAGGGGGGCCACGAGGGUGGAGGGCGCGCUUGGGGGGGGGGUAGGCACGCCCCUACCUUGUGGCCUCCUUUUUGAUGUCUUGACGUAGGGUCCAAGUCCUCUGGAUCACGUUCGUUCCGAAAAUCACGUUCCCGAAGGUUUCAUUCCGUUUGGACUCCGUUUGAUAUUCUUUUUCCGCGAAACUCUAAAAUAGGCAAAAAACAGCAAUUCUGGGCUGGGCCUCCGGUUAAUAGGUUAGUCCCAAAGAUAAUAUAAAAGUGUACAAUAAAGCCCAAUAAUGUCCAAAGCAGAAGAUAAUAUAGCAUGGAACAAUAAAAAAAUUAUAGAUACGUUGGAGACGUAUUAGUGCGGUGCGGCCGGGCGGUGGCGGCUCGGGACGGGGGCCGGGCGGUGCGGGGNNNNNNNNNNNNNNNNNNNNNNNNNNNNNNNNNNNNNNNNNNNNNNNNNNNNNNNNNNNNNNNNNNNNNNNNNNNNNNNNNNNNNNNNNNNNNNNNNNNNNNNNNNNNNNNNNNNNNNNNNNNNNNNNNNNNNNNNNNNNNNNNNNNNNNNNNNNNNNNNNNNNNNNNNNNNNNNNNNNNNNNNNNNNNNNNNNNNNNNNNNNNNNNNNNNNNNNNNNNNNNNNNNNNNNNNNNNNNNNNNNNNNNNNNNNNNNNNNNNNNNNNNNNNNNNNNNNNNNNNNNNNNNNNNNNNNNNNNNNNNNNNNNNNNNNNNNNNNNNNNNNNNNNNNNNNNNNNNNNNNNNNNNNNNNNNNNNNNNNNNNNNNNNNNNNNNNNNNNNNNNNNNNNNNNNNNNNNNNNNNNNNNNNNNNNNNNNNNNNNNNNNNNNNNNNNNNNNNNNNNNNNNNNNNNNNNNNNNNNNNNNNNNNNNNNNNNNNNNNNNNNNNNNNNNNNNNNNNNNNNNNNNNNNGCCGGCGGCGGUGGCUCGGCUGGGCGGGGCGGGCGGCGGCAGGGGUGAGGGGUCGGGGCGGCUCGGGCAGGGAGAGAGAGGGAAUGGACAGAUCGGGCGCGGGCGCGGCCCCUUAUCUGCUAGGUCACAGCACUUUGCGGGGGGAAACGGACGAACUAACGUCCAUCUUCUUUGCCGUCCGCUGACGGACGGCAAAGAUGUUUUGCCGUCAGCCAACAGACGGCAAAGAAGAUGGCCGUUAGGUCCCCCUCGUACGCCCGCCACCCACCCUCUUUGCCGUCAGCUAGCGGACGACAAAGAUAUGCUGAUGGCAAAGCCAUCCGUUGCCGUCCGCUGCCUCUUUGCCGUCAGUUUUCUGGUGGCUGAUGACAAAGCCUUUCUUUGCCGUCCGCUAGCUGACGGCAAAGAAGAGGCAGACGACAAAGAAGUGGAUUCAGUAGUGAGCAUGGUAAUUUGAUUUGGUUAUGAAUUUAGUCCUAAUAUGAUGGGCAUCCAAGAGGGAUAUAAUAAAAACUUUCAUAAAAAGUGCAUUGAAUACUAUGAGAAGUUUGAUACUUGAUGAUUGUUUUGAGAUAUGGAGAUAUUGAUAUUAAAGUUGUGCUAGUUGAGUAGUUGUGAAUUUGAGAAAUACUUGUGUUGAAGUUUGCAAGUCCCGUAGCAUGCACGUAUGGUGAACGUUGUGUAACAAAUUUGAAACAUGAGGUGUUCUUUGAUUGUCAUCCUUAUGAGUGGCGGUCGGGGACGAGCGAUGGUCUUUUCGUACCAAUCUAUCCCCCUAGGAGCAUGCGCGUAGUGCUUGGUUUUUGAUGACUUGUAGAUUUUUGCAAUAAGUAUGUGAGUUCUUUAUGACUAAUGUUGAGUCCAUGGAUUAUACGCACUCUCACCUUCCAUCAUUGCUAGCCUCUUCGGUACUGUGCAUUGCCCUUUCUCACCUUGAGAGUUGGUGCAAACUUCGCCGGUGCAUCCAAACCCCGUGAUAUGAUACGCUCUAUCACACAUAAACUGUAGGGGAUCGUAGCAGAAAUUUAAAAUUUUCUACGCAUCACCAAGAUCAAUCUAUGGAGUUUAAUAGCAACGAGAGGGAAGGAGUGCAUCUACAUACCCUUGUAGAUCGCGAGCGGAAGCGUUCAAGAGAACAGGGUUGAUGGAGUCGUACUCGUCGUGAUCCAAAUCACCGAUGAUCCUAGCGCCGAACGGACGGCACCUCCGCGUUCAACACACGUACGGUUGGGAGAGACGUCUCCUCCUUCUUGAUCCAGCAAGGGGGAAGGAGAGGUUGAUGGAGAUCCAGCAGCACGACGGCGUGGAGGUGGAAGCAGCGGGGAUCUCGGUAGGGCUUCGCCAAGCUCAGCGAGAGGGAGAGGUGUUACGGGGGGAGAGGGAGGCGCCAGGGGCUUAGGUGCGCAGACCUCCCUCCCCCCUUUAUAUAGGGGCCCUGGGGGGGGGCUCCGGCCCCUGGAGAUCCCAUCUCAAGGGGGGGGCGGCCAAGGGGGGAACUUGCCCCCCAAGUCAGGUGGGGCGCCCCCGCCCCCAGGGUUUCCAACCCUAGGCGCAGGGGGAGGCCCAUGGGGGCGCACCAGCCCACCAGGGGCUGGUUCCCUUCCCACUUCAGCCCAUGGGGCCCUCCGGGAUAGGUGGCCCCAUCCGGUGGACCCUCGGGACCCUUCUGGUGGUCCCGGUACAAUACCGGUGACCCCCGAAACUUUCCCGGUGGCCGAAACUGGACUUCCUAUAUACAAAUCUUUACCUCCGGACCGUUCCGGAACUCCUCGUGAUGUCCGGGAUCUCAUCUGGGACUCCGAACAACUUUCGGGUUACCGCAUACUAAUAUCUCUACAACCCUAGCGUCACCGAACCUUAAGUGUGUAGACCCUACGGGUUCGGGAGACACGCAGACAUGACCGAGACGACUCUCCGGUCAAUAACCAACAGCGGGAUCUGGAUACCCAUGUUGGCUCCCACAUGCUCCUCGAUGAUCUCAUCGGAUGAACCACGAUGUCGAGGAUUCAAGUAAUCCCGUAUACAAUUCCCUUUGUCAAUCGGUACGUUACUUGCCCGAGAUUCGAUCGUCGGUAUCCCAAUACCUCGUUCAAUCUCGUUACCGACAAGUCACUUUACUCGUACCGUAAUGCAUGAUCCCAUGACCAAUCACUUGGUCACAUUGAGCUCAUUAUGAUGAUGCAUUACCGAGUGGGCCUAGAGACACCUCUCCGUCAUACGGAGUGACAAAUCCAAGUCUCGAUCUGUGCCAACCCAACAGACACUUUCGGAGAUACAUGUAGUGCACCUUUAUGGCCACCCAGUUACGUUGUGACGUUUGGUACACCCAAAGCAUUCCUACGGUAUCCGGGAGUUGCACGAUCUCAUGGUCUAAGGAAAUGAUACUUGACAUUAGAAAAGCCUCAGCAAACGAACUACACGAUCUAGUGCUAUGCUUAGGAUUGGGUCUUGUCCAUCACAUCAUUCUCCUAAUGAUGUGAUCCCGUUAUGAAAGACAUCCAAUGUCCAUGGUCAGGAAACCGUAACCAUCUAUUGAUCAACGAGCUAGUCAACUAGAGGCUCACUAGGGACAUGUUAUGGUCUAUGUGUUCACACAUGUAUUACGAUUUCCGGAUAACACAAUUAUAGCAUGAACAAUAGACAAUUAUCAUGAACAAGGAAAUAUAAUAAUAACCAUUUUAUUAUUGCCUCUAGGGCAUAUUUCCAACAGUCUCCCACUUGCACUAGAGUCAAUAAUCUAGUUACACUGUGAUGAAUCAUACACCCAUAGAGUUUUGGUGUUGAUCAUGUUUUGCCCGUGGAAGAGGUUUAGUCAACGGAUCUGCGACAUUCAAAUCCGUAUGUACUUUACAAAUAUCUAUGUCUCCAUUUUGAACAUUUUCACGAAUGGAAUUGAAGCGACGCUUGAUGUGACUGGUCUUCUUGUGAAACCUGGGCUCCUUGGCAAGGGCAAUAGCUGCAGUGUUGUCGCAGAAGAGAGUCAUCGGCCCCGAUGCAUUGGGAAUAACUCCUAGGUCGGCAAUGAACUCCUUCAUCCAGAUUGCUUCAUGUGCUGCCUCCGAGGCUGCCAUGUACUCCGCUUCACAUGUAGAUCCCGCCACGACACUUUGCUUGCAACUGCACCAGCUGACUGCCCCACCAUUCAAAAUAUACACGUAUCCGGUUUGUGACUUAGAGUCAUCCAGAUCUGUGUCGAAGCUAGCAUUGACGUAACCCUUUACGACGAGCUCUUCGUCACCUCCAUAAACGAGAAACAUAUCCUUAGUCCUUUUCAGGUACUUCAGGAUGUUCUUGACCGCUGUCCAGUGUUCCAUGCCGGGAUUACUUUGGUACCUUCCUACCAAACUCACGGCAAGGUUUACAUCAGGUCUGGUACACAACAUGGCAUACAUAAUAGACCCUAUGGCCGAGGCAUAGGGGACGACACUCAUCUUUUCUCUAUCUUCUGCCGUGGUCGGGCAUUGUGCCGUGCUCAAUCUCACACCUUGCAUUACAGGCAAGAACCCCUUCUUGGACUGAUCCAUAUUGAACUUCUUCAAUAUCUUGUCAAGGUAUGUGCUUUGUGAAAGACCUAUGAGGCGUCUCGAUCUAUCUCUAUAGAUCUUGAUGCCUAAUAUGUAAGCAGCUUCUCCAAGGUCCUUCAGUGAAAAACACUUAUUCAAGGAGGCCUUUAUACUUUCGAAGAAUUCUAUAUCAUUUCCCAUCAAUAGUAUGUCAUCCACAUAUAAUAUGAGAAAUGCUACAGAGCUCCCACUCACUUUCUUGUAAACACAGGCUUCUCCAUAAGUCUGUGUAAACCCAAACGCUUUGAUCAUCUCAUCAAAGCGAAUGUUCCAACUCCGAGAUGCCUGCACCAACCCAUAGAUUGAGCACUGGAGCUUGCAUACUUUGUCAGCAUUCUUAGGAUCGACAAAACCUUCCGACUGCAUCAUAUACAAUUCUUCCUUAAGGAAGCCGUUAAGGAAUGCCGUUUUGACGUCCAUUUGCCAUAUUUCAUAAUCGUAGAAUGCGGCAAUUGCUAACAUGAUUCGGAUGGACUUCAGCUUCGCUACGGGUGAGAAGGUCUCAUCGUAGUCAACUCCUUGAACUUGUCGAUGUUGGAAAUAUGCCCUAGAGGCAAUAAUAAAUGGUUAUUAUUAUAUUGCUUUGUUCAUGAUAAUUGUCUAUUGUUCAUGCUAUAAUUGUGUUAUCCGAAAAUCGUAAUACAUGUGUGAAUACAUAGACCACAAUGUGUCCCUAGUAAGCCUCUAGUUGACUAGCUCGUUGAUCAACAGAUAGUCAUGGUUUCCUGACUAUGGACAUUGGAUGUCAUUGAUAACGGGAUCACAUCAUUAGGAGAAUGAUGUGAUGGACAAGACCCAAUCGUAAGCAUAGCAUAAAAGAUCGUGUAGUUCGUUUGCUAGAGCUUUUCCAAUGUCAAGUAUCUUUUCCUUAGACCAUGAGAUCGUGUAACUCCCGGAUACCGUAGGAGUGCUUUGGGUGUACCAAACGUCACAACAUAACUAGGUGACUAUAAAGGUACACUACGGGUAUCUCUGAAAGUGUCUGUUGGGUUGACACGGAUCGAGACUGGGAUUUGUCACUCCGUAUGACGGAGAGGUAUCUCUGGGCCCACUCGGUAAUGCAUCACCAUAAUGAGCUCAAUGUGACUAAGGAGUUAGCCACGGGAUCAUGCAUUACGGUACGAGUCAAGUGACUUCCCGGUAACGAGAUUGAACAAGGUAUUGGGAUACCGACGAUCGAGUCUCGGGCAAGUAACGUACCGAUUGACAAAGGGAAUUGUAUACGGGAUUGAUUGAAUCCUCGACAUCGUGGUUCAUCCGAUGAGAUCAUCAUGGAACAUGUGGGAGCCAACAUGGGUAUCCAGAUCCCGCUGUUGGUUAUUGACCGGAGAGGCGUCUCGGUCAUGUCUGCAUGUCUCCCGAACCCGUAGGGUCUACACACUUAAGGUUCGGUGACGCUAGGGUUGUAGAGAUAUUAGUAUGCGGAAACCCGAAAGUUGUUCGGAGUCCCAGAUGAGAUCCCGGACGUCACGAGGAGUUCCGGAAUGGUCCGGAGGUGAAGGAUUAUAUAUGGGAAGUCCAGUUUCGGCCACCGGGAAAGUUUUGGGGGUUAUCAGUAUUGUACCGGGACCACUGGAAGGGUCCCGGGGGUCCAUCGGGUGGGGCCACCUAUCCCGGAGGGCCCCAUGGGCUGAAGUGGGCAGGGAACCAGCCCUUAGUGGGCUGGGGCGCCCCCCUUGGGCCUCCCCCUGCGCCUAGGGUUGGAAACCCUAGGGAUGGGGGGCGCCCCACUUGUCUUGGGGGGAAGCCACCCCCCUUCCCCCUUGGCCGCUGCCCCCCCCUUGGAGAUCUGAUCUCCCAGGGCCGGCACCCCCCAGGGGUCCCUAUAUAUAGUGGGGGGGGGGGGAAGGAGGGCAGCAGCACCACAGCCCCUGGCGCCUCCCUGUCCCCCUGCAACACCUCUCCCUCUCGCAGAAGCUUGGCGAAGCCCUGCCGAGAUCCCCGCUACUUCCACCACCACGCCGUCGUGCUGCUGGAUCUCCAUCAACCUCUCCUUCCCCCUUGCUGGAUCAAGAAGGAGGAUACGUCGCUGCUUCGUACGUGUGUUGAACGCGGAGGUGCCGUCCGUUCGGCACUCGGUCAUCGGUGAUUUGGAUCACGGCGAGUACGACUCCAUCAACCCCGUUCAUUAGAACGCUUCCGCUCGCGAUCUACAAGGGUAUGUAGAUGCACUCCUUUCCCCUCGUUGCUAGUAUACUCCGUAGAUGGAUCUUGGUGACGCGUAGGAAAUUUUAAAAUUCUGCUACGAUCCCCAACAGUGGCAUCAUGAGCCAGGCCUAUGCGUAGUUACUAUGCACGAGUAGAACACAAAGCAGUUGUGGGCGUAGAUGUUGCCAAUUCUUCUUGACGCUACUAGUCUUAUCUUGUUUCGGCGGCAUUGUGGGAUGAAGCGGCCCGGACCGACCUUACACGUACGCUUACGUGAGACAGGUUCCACCGACUGACAUGCACUAGUUGCAUAAGGUGGCUAGCGGCUGUCUGUCUCUCCCACUUUCGUCGGAACGGAUUCGAUGAAAAGGGUCCUUAUGAAGGGUAAAUAGAAAUUGGCACAUCACGUUGUGGUUUUACGUAGGUAAGAAACGUUCUUGCUAGAAACCUAUACAAGCCACGUAAAAACUUGCAACAACAAUUAGAGGACGUCUAACUUGUUUUUGUAGCAUGUGCUAUGUGAUGUGAUAUGGCCAGAAGAUGUGAUGAAUGAUAUAUGUGAUGUAUGAGAUUGAUCAUAUUCUUGUAAUAGGAAUGACGACUUGCAUGUCGAUGAGUAUGACAACCGGCAGGAGCCAUAGGAGUUGUCUUUAUUUUUUGUAUGACCUGCGUGUCAUUGAAUAACGCCAUGUAAAUUACUUUACUUUAUUGCUAAGCGCGUUAGCCAUAGAAGUAGAAGUAAUCGUUGGCGUGACAACUUCAUGAAGACACAAUGAUGGAGAUCAUGAUGAUGGAGAUCAUGGUGUCAUGCCGGUGACGAAGAUGAUCAUGGUGCCCCGAAGAUGGAGAUCAAAGGAGCAAAAUGAUAUUGGCCAUAUCAUGUCACUAUUUGAUUGCAUGUGAUGUUUAUCAUGUUUUGCGUCUUACUUGCUUAGAACGACGGUAGUAAGUAAGAUGAUCCCUUAUAAUAAUUUCAAGAAAGUGUUCCCCCUAACUGUGCACCGUUGCGAAGGUUCGUUGUUCCGAAGCACCACAUGAUGAUCGGGUGUGAUAGAUUCUAACGUUCGCAUACAACGGGUGUUGACGAGCCUAGCAUGUACAGACAUGGCCUCGGAACACAUGCAAUACACUUAGGUUGACUUGACGAGCCUAGCAUGUACAGACAUGGCCUCGGAACACGGAGGACCGAAAGGUCGAGCAUGAGUCGUAUAGAAGAUACGAUCAACAUGGAGAUGUUCACCGAUCUUGACUAGUCCGUCUCACGGGAUGAUCGGACACAGCCUAGUUAACUCGGAUCAUGUUUCACUUAGAUGACUAGAGGGAUGUCUAUCUGAGUGGGAGUUCAUUGAAUAAUUUGAUUAUAUGAACUUAAUUAUCAUGAACUUAGUCUAAAAUCUUUACAAUAUGUCUUGUAGAUCAAAUGGCCCACGUUGUCCUCAACUUCAACGCGUUCCUAGAGAAAACCAAGCUGAAAGAUGAUGGCAGCAACUAUACGGACUGGGUCCGGAACCUGAGGAUCAUCCUCAUAGCUGCCAAGAAAGAUUAUGUCCUAGAAGCACCGCUAGGCGAAGCACCAAUCCCAAAGAACCAAGACGUUAUGAACGCUUGGCAAUCACGUGCUGAUGAUUACUCCCUCGUUCAGUGCGGCAUGCUUUACAGCUUAGAACCGGGUCUCCAAAAGCGUUUUGAGAAACAUGGAGCAUAUGAGAUGUUCGAAGAGCUAAAAAUGAUUUUCCAAGCUCAUGCCCGGGUCGAGAGAUAUGAAGUCUCCGACAAGUUCUUCAGCUGUAAAAUGGAGGAAAAUAGUUCUGUUAGUGAGCACAUACUCAGAAUGUCUGGGUUACACAACCGCUUGUCUCAGCUGGGAGUUAAUCUCCCGGAUGACGCGGUCAUUGACAGAAUCCUUCAGUCGCCUCCACCGAGCUGCAAGAGCUUUGUGAUGAACUUCAAUAUGCAGGGGAUGGAAAAGACCAUUCCUGAGGUAUAUUCAAUGUUGAAAUCAGCGGAGGUGGAGAUCAAAAAGGAACAUCAAGUGUUGAUGGUGAAUAAAACCACUAAGUUCAAGAAAGGCAAGGGUAAGAAGAACUUCAAGAAGGACGGCAAGGGAGUUGCCGCGCCCGGUAAGCCAGUUGCCGGGAAGAAGUCGAAGAAUGGACCCAAGCCUGAGACUGAGUGCUUUUAUUGCAAGGGAAGUGGUCACUGGAAGCGGAACUGCCCCAAAUACUUAGCGGACAAGAAGGCCGGCAACACCAAAGGUAUAUGUGAUAUACAUGUAAUUGAUGUGUACCUUACCAGUACUCGUAGUAGCUCCUGGGUAUUUGAUACCGGUGCGGUUGCUCAUAUUUGUAACUCAAAACAGGAACUGCGGAAUAAGCGGAGACUGGCAAAGGACGAGGUGACGAUGCGCGUCGGGAAUGGUUCCAAGGUCGAUGUGAUUGCCGUCGGCACGCCGCCUCUACAUUUACCUACGGGAUUAGUUUUAAAUCUCAAUAAUUGUUAUUUAGUGCCAGCUUUGAGCAUGAACAUUGUAUCUGGAUCUCGUUUAAUUCGAGAUGGCUACUCAUUUAAAUCCGAGAAUAAUGGUUGUUCUAUUUAUUUGAGAGAUAUGUUUUAUGGUCAUGCCCCGUUGGUCAAUGGUUUAUUCUUGAUGAAUCUCGAACGUGAUGUUACACAUAUUCAUAGUGUGAAUACCAAAAGAUGUAAAGUUGAGAACGAUAGUCCCACAUACUUGUGGCACUGCCGCCUUGGUCACAUUGGUGUCAAGCGCAUGAAGAAGCUCCAUGCAGAUGGACUUUUGGAGUCUCUUGAUUACGAAUCAUUUGACGCGUGCGAACCAUGCCUCAUGGGUAAGAUGACCAAGACUCCGUUCUCGGGAACAAUGGAGCGAGCAACCAAUUUAUUGGAAAUCAUACAUUCCGAUGUGUGCGGUCCAAUGAGUGUUGAGGCUCGCGGAGGAUAUCGUUAUGUUCUCACUCUCACUGAUGACUUAAGUAAAUAUGGGUAUGUCUACCUAAUGAAACACAAGUCUGAAACCUUUGAAAAGUUCAAGGAAUUUCAGAGUGAGGUUGAGAAUCAACAUGACAGGAAAAUAAAGUUCUUACGAUCAGAUCGUGGUGGAGAAUAUUUAAGUCACGAAUUUGGUAAGCACUUAAGGAAAUGUGGAAUCGUUUCACAACUCACGCCGCCUGGAACACCUCAGCGAAACGGUGUGUCCGAACAUCAUAAUCGCACUCUAUUGGAUAUGGUGCGAUCUAUGAUGUCUCUUACCGAUUUACCGCUCUCAUUUUGGGGCUAUGCUUUAGAGACUGCCGCAUUCACUUUAAAUAGGGCUCCGUCGAAAUCCGUUGAGACGACACCGUAUGAAUUAUGGUUUGGGAAGAAACCUAAGCUGUCGUUUCUAAAAGUAUGGGGAUGUGAUGCUUAUGUCAAGAAACUUCAACCUGAAAAGCUCGAACCCAAGUCGGAAAAAUGCAUCUUCAUAGGAUACCCUAAGGAAACUAUUGGGUAUACCUUCUACCUCAGAUCCGAAGGCAAGAUCUUUGUUGCCAAGAAGGGGUCCUUUCUGGAGAAAGAGUUUCUCUCGAAAGAAUUGAGUGGGAGGAAAGUGGAACUUGAUGAGGUGAUAGUCACCCCUUCCGAAUCGGAGAGUAGCGCAGCGCGGGAAGAUGUUCCUGUGGUGCCUACACCGACUGGGGAGGAAGUUAAUGAUGAUGAUCAUGAAGCUUCGGAUCAAGUUACUGCUGAACUACAUAGGUCCACAAGGACACGUUCCGCACUAGAGUGGUACGGCAACCCUGUCCUGGAAAUCAUGUUGUUAGACAACGGUGAACCUUCGAACUAUGAAGAAGCGAUGGCGGACCCAGAUUCCGACAAAUGGCUAGAAGCCAUGAAAUCCGAGAUAGGAUCCAUGUAUGAAAACAAAGUAUGGACUUUGACUGACUUGCCCGAUGAUCGGCGAGCCAUAGAAAAUAAAUGGAUCUUUAAGAAGAAGACAGACGCGGAUGGUAAUGUGACCAUCUAUAAGGCUCGACUUGUCGCUAAGGGUUAUCGACAGGUUCAAGGGGUUGAUUACGAUGAGACUUUCUCACCCGUAGCGAAGCUGAAGUCCGUCCGAAUCAUGUUAGCAGUUGCCGCAUUCUAUGAUUAUGAGAUAUGGCAGAUGGACUUCAAAACAGCAUUCCUUAAUGGCUUCCUUAAGGAAGAAUUGUAUAUGAUGCAGCCGGAAGGUUUUGUCGAUCCUAAGAAUGCUGACAAAGUAUGCAAGCUCCAGCGCUCAAUCUAUGGGCUGGUGCAAGCAUCUCGGAGUUGGAACAUUCGCUUUGAUGAGAUGAUCAAAGCGUUUGGGUUUACACAGACUUAUGGAGAAGCCUGUGUUUACAAGAAAGUGAGUGGGAGCUCUGUAGCAUUUCUCAUAUUAUAUGUGGAUGACAUACUAUUGAUGGGAAAUGAUAUAGAAUUCUUGGAAAGUAUAAAGGCCUAUUUGAAUAAGUGUUUUUCAAUGAAGGACCUUGGAGAAGCUGCUUAUAUAUUAGGCAUCAAGAUUUAUAGAGAUAGAUCAAGACGCCUCAUUGGUCUUUCACAGAGUACAUACCUUGCCAAGAUAUUGAAGAAGUUCAAUAUGGAUCAGUCCAAGAAGGGGUUCUUGCCUGUAUUGCAAGGUGUGCAAUUGAGCACAGCUCAAUGCCCGACCACGGCAGAAGAUAGAGAAAAGAUGAGUGUCAUCCCCUAUGCCUCGGCCAUAGGGUCUAUUAUGUAUGCCAUGCUGUGUACCAGACCUGAUGUAAACCUUGCCGCAAGUUUGGUAGGAAGGUACCAAAGUAAUCCCGGCAUGGAACACUGGACAGCGGUCAAGAAUAUCCUGAAGUACCUGAAGAGGACUAAGGAUAUGUUUCUCAUUUAUGGAGGUGACGAAGAGCUCGUCGUAAAGGGUUACGUCGACGCUAGCUUCGACACAGAUCUGGAUGACUCGAAGUCACAAACCGGAUACGUGUAUAUUUUGAAUGGAGGGGCAGUAAGCUGGUGCAGUUGCAAGCAAAGCGUCGUGGCGGGAUCUACAUGUGAAGCGGAGUACAUGGCAGCCUCGGAGGCAGCGCAAGAAGCAAUCUGGAUGAAGGAGUUCAUUACCGACCUAAGGAUGAUUCCCAAUGCGUCGGGCCCGAUGACUCUCUUCUGUGACAACACUGGAGCUAUUCCGCUUGCCAAGGAGCCCAGGUUUCACAGGAAGACCAGGCAUAUCAAGCGUCGCUUCAACUCCAUUCGUGAAAGUGUUCAAAAUGGAGACAUAGAUAUUUGUAAAGUACAUACGGACCUGAAUGUAGCAGAUUCGUUGACUAAACCUCUCCCUAGAGCAAAACAUGAUCAACACCAGAACGCUAUGGGUGUUUGAUUCAUCACAAUGUAACUAGAUUAUUGACUCUAGUGCAAGUGGGAGACUGUUGGAAAUAUGCCCUAGAGGCAAUAAUAAAUGGUUAUUAUUAUAUUUCUUUGUUCAUGAUAAUUGUCUAUUGUUCAUGCUAUAAUUGUGUUAUCCGGAAAUUGUAAUACAUGUGUGAAUACAUAGACCACAACGUGUCCCUAGUAAGCCUCUAGUUGACUAGCUCGUUGAUCAACAGAUAGUCAUGGUUUCCUGACUAUGGACAUUGGAUGUCAUUGAUAACGGGAUCACAUCAUUAGGAGAAUGAUGUGAUGGACAAGACCCAAUCGUAAGCAUAGCAUAAAAGAUCGUGUAGUUCGUUUGUUAGAGCUUUUCCAAUGUCAAGUAUCUUUUCCUUAGACCAUGAGAUCGUGUAACUCACGGAUACCGUAGGAGUGCUUUGGGUGUACCAAACGUCACAAUGUAACUGGGUGACUAUAAAGGUACUCUACGGGUAUCUCUGAAAGUGUCUGUUGGGUUGACACGGAUCGAGACUAGGAUUUGUCACUCCGUAUGACGGAGUGGUAUCUCUGGGCCCACUCGGUAAUGCAUCACCAUAAUGAGCUCAAUGUGACUAAGGAGUUAGCCACGGGAUCAUGCAUUACGGUGCGAGUAAAGUGACUUGCCAGUAACGAGAUUGAACAAGGUAUUGGGAUACCGACGAUCGAGUCUCGGGCAAGUAACGUACCGAUUGACAAAGGGAAUUGUAUACGGGAUUGAUUGAAUCCUCGACAUCGUGGUUCAUCCGAUGAGAUCAUCGUGGAACAUGUGGGAGCCAACAUGGGUAUCCAGAUCCCGCUGUUGGUUAUUGACCGGGAGAGGCGUCUCGGUCAUGUCUGCAUGUCUCCCGAACCCGUAGGGUCUACACACUUAAGGUUCGGUGACGCUAGGGUUGUAGAGAUAUUAGUAUGCGGAAACCCGAAAGUUGUUCGGAGUCCCGGAUGAGAUCCCGGACAUCACGAGGUGUUCCGGAAUGGUCCGGAGGUGAAGGAUUAUAUAUGGGAAGUCCAGUUUCGGCCACCGGGAAAGUUUCGUGGGUUAUCGGUAUUGUACCGGGACCACCGGAAGGGUCCCGGGGGUCCACCGGGUGGGGCCACCUAUCCCGGAGGGCCCCAUGGGCUGAAGUGGGAAGGGAACCAGCCCUUAGUGGGCUGGGGUGCCCCCCCUUGGUGCAGGGGGAGGCCCAUGGGGGGUGCACCAGCCCACCAGAGGUUGGUUCCCUUCCCACUUCAGCCCAUGGGGCCCUCCGGGAUAGGUGGCCCCAUCUGGUGGACCCCCGGGACCCUUCCGGUGGUCCCGGUACAAUACCGGUGACCCCCGAAACUUUCCUGGCGGCCGAAACUGGACUUCCUAUAUACAAAUCUUUACCUCCGGACCAUUCCGGAACUCCUCGUGAUGUCCGGGAUCUCAUCCGGGACUCCGAACAACUUUUUGGUUACCGCAUACUAAUAUCUCUACAACCCUAGCGUCACCGAACCUUAAGUGUGUAGACCCUACGGUCAAUAACCAACAGCGGGAUCUGGAUACCCAUGUUGGCUCCCACAUGCUCCUCGAUGAUCUCAUCGGAUGAACCACGAUGUCGAGGAUUCAAGUAAUCCCGUAUACAAUUCCCUUUGUCAAUCGGUACGUUACUUGCCCGAGAUUCGAUCGUCGGUAUCCCAAUACCUCGUUCAAUCUCGUUACCGACAAGUCACUUUACUCGUACCGUAAUGCAUGAUCCCCUGACAAAUCACUUGGUCACAUUGAGCUCAUUAUGAUGAUGCAUUACCGAGUGGGCCCAGAGAUACCUCUCCGUCAUACGGAGUGACAAAUCCCAGUCUCGAUCUGUGCCAACCCAACAGACACUUUCGGAGAUACCUGUAGUGCACCUUUAUGGCCACCCAGUUACGUUGUGACGUUUGGUACACCCAAAGCAUUCCUACGGUAUCCGGGAGUUGCACGAUCUCAUGGUCUAAGGAAAUGAUACUUGACAUUAGAAAAGCCUCAGCAAACGAACUACACGAUCUAGUGCUAUGCUUAGGAUUGGGUCUUGUCCAUCACAUCAUUCUCCUAAUGAUGUGAUCCCGUUAUCAAUGACAUCCAAUGUCCAUGGUCAGGAAACCGUAACCAUCUAUUGAUCAACAAGCUAGUCAACUAGAGGCUCACUAGGGACAUGUUAUGGUCUAUGUGUUCACACAUGUAUUACAAUUUCUGGAUAACACAAUUAUAGCAUGAACAAUAGACAAUUAUCAUGAACAAUGAAAUAUAAUAAUAACCAUUUUAUUCUCCAAUGAACGUUGUUGACGGAGUCGUACUCGCCGUGAUUCAAAUCACCGAUGACCGAGUGCCGAACGGACGACACCUCCGCGUUCAACACACGUACGGUGCAGCGACGUCUCCUCCUUCUUGAUCCAGCAAGGGGGAAGGAGAGGUUGAUGGAGAUCCAGCAGCACGACGGUCUGGUGGUGGAUGUAGCGGGAUGUCGGCACGGCUUCGCCGAGCUUCUGCGAGAGAGAGAGGUGUAGCAGGGGAGGAGGGAGGUGCCCAAGGCUGUAGUACUACUGCCCUCCCUCCCCCCUUUAUAUAGGCUCCCUCGGAGGGGGGGGGGCGCCAGCCAGGAACCCAUCUGGAUGGGGGGCGGCGGCCAGGGGGGUAACUUACCCCCCAAGUCAAGUGGGGCGCCCCCCACCCUAGGGUUUCCAACCCUAGGCGCAGGGGGGAGGCCCAUGGGGGGCGCCCCAACACACUAUGGGCUGGUUCCCUUCCCACUUCAGCCCAUGGGGCCCUCCGGGACAGGUGGCCCCACCCGGUGGACCCCCGGGACCCUUCCGGUGGUCCCAGUACAAUACCGAUAACCCCCGAAACUUUCCCGGUGGCCGAAACUGGACUUCCUAUAUAUAAUUCUUCACCUCCGGACCAUUCCGGAACUCUUCGUGACGUCCGGGAUCUCAUCCGGGACUCCGAACAACUUUCGGGUUUCCGCAUACUCAUAUCUCUACAACCCUAGCGUCACCGAACCUUAAGUGUGUAGACCCUACGGGUUCGGGAGACAUGCAGACAUGACCGAGACGCCUCUCCGGUUAAUAACCAACAGCGGGAUCUGGAUACCCAUGUUGGCUCCCACAUGUUCCACGAUGAUCUCAUCGGAUGAACCACGAUGUCGAGGAUUCAAUCAAUCCCGUAUACAAUUCCCUUUGUCAAUCGGUAUGUUACUUGCCCGAGAUUCGAUCGUCGGUAUCCCAAUACCUUGUUCAAUAUCGUUACCGGCAAGUCUCUUUACUCGUACCGCAAUGCAUGAUCCCGUGACUAAUGCCUUAGUCACAUUGAGCUCAUUAUGAUGAUGCAUUACCGAGGGGGCCCAGAGAUACCUCUCCGUCACACGGAGUGACAAAUCCCAGUCUCGAUCCGUGCCAACCCAACAGACACUUUCGGAGAUACCCGCAGUGUACCUUUAUAGUCACCCAGUUACGUUGUGACGUUAGGCACACCCAAAGCACUCCUACGGUAUCCGGGAGUUGCACGAUCUCAUGGUCUAAGGAAUAGAUACCUGACAUUGGAAAAGCUCAAGCAAACGAAACUACACGAUCUUUUAUGCUAUGCUUAGGAUUGGGUCUUGUCCAUCACAUCAUUCUCCUAAUGAUGUGAUCCCGUUAUCAAUGACAUCCAAUGUCCAUAGUCAGGAAACCGUGACUAUCUGUUGAUCAACGAGCUAGUCAACUAGAGGCUUACUAGGGACACGUUGUGGUCUAUGUAUUCACACAUGUAUUACGAUUUCCGGAUAAUACAAUUAUAGCAUGAACAAUAGACAAUUAUUAUGAACAAAGAAAUAUAAUAAUAACCAUUUAUUAUUGCCUCUAGGGCAUAUUUCCAACAGUCUCCCACUUGCACUAGAGUCAAUAAUCUAGUUACAUUGUGAUGAAUCGAACACCCAUUGCGUCCUGGUGUUGAUCAUGUUUUGCUCUAGGGAGAGGUUUAGUCAACGGAUCUGCUACAUUCAGGUCCGUAUGUACUUUACAAAUAUCUAUGUCUCCAUUUUGAACACUUUCACGAAUGGAGUUGAAGCGACGCUUGAUAUGCCUGGUCUUCCUGUGAAACCUGGGCUCCUUCGCAAGGGCAAUAGCUCCAGUGUUGUCACAGAAGAGAGUCAUCGGGCCCGACGCAUUGGGAAUCACCCCUAGGUCGGUAAUGAACUCCUUCAUCCAGACUGCUUCCUGUGCUGCCUCCGAGGCUGCCAUGCANNNNNNNNNNGAUGAACCACGAUGUCGAGGAUUCAAUCAAUCUCGUAUACAAUUCCCUUUGUCAAUCGGUACGUUACUUGCCCGAGAUUCGAUCGUCGGUAUCCCAAUACCUUGUUCAAUCUCGUUACCGGCAAGUAUCUUUACCCGUACCGCAAUGCAUGAUCCCGUGACUAACGCCUUAGUCACAUUGAGCUUAUUAUGAUGAUGAAUUACCGAGUGGGCCCAGAGAUACCUCUCCGUCACACGGAGUGACAAAUCCCAGUCUCGAUCCGUGCCAACCCAACAGACACUUUCGGAGAUACCCGCAGUGUACCUUUAUAGUCACCCAGUUACGUUGUGACGUUUGGCACACCCAAAGCACUCCUACGGUAUCCGGGAGUUGCACGAUCUCAUUGUCUAAGGAAUAGAUACCUGACAUUGGAAAAAGCUCUAGCAAACGAAACUACACGAUCUUUUAUGCUAUGCUUAGGAUUGGGUCUUGUCCAUCACAUCAUUCUCCUAAUGAUUUGAUCCCGUUAUCAAUGACAUCCAAUGUCCAUAGUCAGGAAACCGUGACUAUCUGUUGAUCAACGAGCUAGUCAACUAGAGGCUUACUAGGGACACGUUGUGGUCUAUGUAUUCACACAUGUAUUACGAUUUCCGGAUAAUACAAUUAUGGCAUGAACAAUAGACAAUUAUCAUGAACAAAGAAAUAUAAUAAUAACCAUUUAUUGCCUCUAGGGCAUAUUUCCAACAGUCUCCCACUUGCACUAGAGUCAAUAAUCUAGUUACAUUGUGAUGAAUCGAACACCCAUUGCGUCUUGGUGUUGAUCAUGUUUUGCUCUAGGNNNNNNNNNNGAACAAAGAAAUAUAAUAAUAACCAUUUAUUAUUGCCUCUAGGGCAUAUUUCCAACAGUCUCCCACUUGCACUAGAGUCAAUAAUCUAGUUACAUUGUGAUGAAUCGAACACCCAUUGCGUCCUGGUGUUGAUCAUGUUUUGCUCUAGGGAGAGGUUUAGUCAACGGAUCUGCUACAUUCAGGUCCGUAUGUACUUUACAAAUAUCUAUGUCUCCAUUUUGAACACUUUCACGAAUGGAGUUGAAGCGACGCUUGAUAUGCCUGGUCUUCCUGUGAAACCUGGGCUCCUUCGCAAGGGCAAUAGCUCCAGUGUUGUCACAGAAGAGAGUCAUCGGGCCCGACGCAUUGGGAAUCACCCCUAGGUCGGUAAUGAACUCCUUCAUCCAGACUGCUUCCUGUGCUGCCUCCGAGGCUGCCAUGCACUCCGCUUCACAUGUAGAUCCCGCCACGACGCUUUGCUUGCAACUGCACCAGCUUACUGCCCCUCCAUUCAAAAUAUACACGUAUCCGGUUUGUGACUUCGAGUCAUCCAGAUCUGUGUCAAAGCUAGCGUCGACGUAACCCUUUACGACGAGCUCUUCGUCACCUCCAUAAACGAGAAACAUAUCCUUAGUCCUCUUCAGGUACUUCAGGAUAUUCUUGACCACUAUCCAGUGUUCCAUGCCGGGAUUACUUUGGUACCUUCCUACCAAACUUACGGCAAGGUUUACAUCAGGUCUGGUACACAGCAUGGCAUACAUAAUAGACCCUAUGGCCGAGGCAUAGGGGAUGACACUCAUCUUUUCUCUAUCAUCUGCCGUGGUCGGGCAUCGAGCCGUGCUCAACUGCACACCUUGCAAUACAGGCAAGAACCCCUUCUUGGAUUGAUCCAUAUUGAACUUCUUCAAUAUCUUGUCAAGGUAUGUACUCUGUGAAAGACCAAUGAGGCGUCUUGAUCUAUCUCUAUAGAUCUUGAUGCCUAAUAUAUAAGAAGCUUCUCCAAGGUCAUUCAUUGAAAAACACUUUUUCAAAUAGCCCUUUAUACUUUCCAAGAAUUCUAUAUCGUUUCCCAUCAAUAGUAUGUCAUCCACAUAUAAUAUGAGAAAUGCUACAGAGCUCCCACUCACUUUCUUGUAAACACAGGAUUCUCCAUAAGUCCGUGUAAACCCAAACGCUUUGAUCAUCUCAUCAAAGCGAAUGUUCCAACUCCGAGAUGCUUGCACCAGCCCAUAGAUUGAGCGCUGGAGCUUGCAUACUUUGUUAGCAUUCUUAGGAUCGACAAAACCUUCCGGCUGCAUCAUAUACAACUCUUCCUUAAGGAAGCCGUUAAGGAAUGCCGUUUUGACGUCCAUCUGCCAUAUCUCAUAAUCAUAGUAUGCGGCAAUUGCUAACAUGAUUCGGACGGACUUCAGCUUCGCUACGGGUGAGAAAGUCUCAUCGUAGUCAACCCCUUGAACUUGUCGAUAACCCUUAGCGACAAGUCUCAUCUGCCAUCCGCGUCCGUCUUCUGCUUAAAGAUCCAUUUGUUUUCUAUGGCUCGCCGAUCAUCGGGCAAGUCAGUCAAAGUCCAUACUUCCUUUUCAUACAUGGAUCCUAUCUCGGAUUUCAUGGCUUCUAUCCAUUUGUCAGAAUCCGGGCCCGCCAUCGCUUCUUCAUAGUUCAAAGGUUCACCGUUGUCUAACAACAUGAUUUCCAGGACAGGGUUGCCGUACCACUCUGGUGCGGAACAUGUUCUUGUGGACCUACGAAGUUCAGUAGUAACUUGAUCCGAAGCUUCAUGAUCAUCAUCAUUAACUUCCUCCCCAGUCGGUGUAGGCACCACAGGAACAUCUUCCCACGCUGCGCUACUUUCCGGUUCGGAAGGGGUGACUAUCACCUCAUCAACUUCCACUUUCCUCCCACUCAAUUAUUUUGAGAGAAACUCCUUCUCCAGAAAGGACCCGUUCUUGGCAACGAAGAUCUUGCCUUCGGAUCUGAGGUAGAAGGUAUACCCAAUAGUUUCCUUAGGGUAUCCUAUGAAGACGCAUUUUUCCGACUUGGGUUCGAGCUUUUCAGGUUGAAGUUUCUUGACAUAAGCAUCGCAUCCCCAAACUUUUAGAAACGACAGCUUAGGUUUCUUCCCAAACCAUAAUUCAUACGGUGUCGUCUCAACGGAUUUCGACGGAGCCCUAUUUAAAGUGAAUGCGGCAGUCUCUAAAGCAUAGCCCCAAAAUGAGAGCGGUAAAUCGGUAAGAGACAUCAUAGAUCGCACCAUAUCCAAUAGAGUGCGGUUACGACGUUCGGACACACCGUUUCGCUGAGGUGUUCCAGGCGGCGUGAGUUGUGAAACGAUUCCACAUUUCCUGAAGUGCGCACCAAAUUCGUGACUUAAAUAUUCUCCACCACGAUCUGGUCGUAAGAAUUUUAUUCUCCUGUCAUGUUGAUUCUCAACCUCACUCUGAAAUUCCUUGAACUUUUCAAAGGUUUCAGACUUGUGUUUCAUUAGGUAGACAUACCCAUAUCUACUUAAGUCAUCAGUGAGAGUGAGAACAUAAGGAUAUCCUCCGCGAGCCUCAACACUCAUUGGACCGCACACAUCGGUAUGUAUGAUUUCCAAUAAGUUGGUUGCUCGCUCCAUUGUUCCGGAGAACGGAGUCUUGGUCAUCUUACCCAUGAGGCAUGGUUCGCACGUGUCAAAUGAUUCGUAAUCAAGAGACUCCAAAAGUCCAUCUGCAUUGAGCUUCUUCAUGCGCUUGACACCAAUGUGACCAAGACGGCAGUGCCACAAGUAUGUGGGACUAUCGUUAUCAACUUUACAUCUUUUGGUAUUCACACUAGGAAUAUGUGUAACAUCAGGUUCGAGAUUCAUCAAGAAUAAACCAUUAACCAGCGGGGCAUGACCAUAAAACAUAUCUCUCAUAUAAAUAGAACAACCAUUAUUCUCGGAUUUAAAUGAGUAGCCAUCUCGAAUUAAACGAGAUCCAGAUACAAUGUUCAUGCUCAAAGCUGGCACUAAAUAACAAUUAUUGAGGUUUAAAACUAACCCCGUAGGUAGAUGCAGAGGUAGCAUGCCGACGGCGAUCACAUCGACCUUGGAACCAUUCCCGACGCGCAUCGUCACCUCGUCCUUCGCCACUCUCCGUUUAUUCCGUAGUUCCUGUUUUGAGUUACAAAUAUGAGCAACCGCACCGGUAUCAAAUACCCAGGAGCUACUACGAGUACUGGUAAGGUACACAUCAAUUACAUGUAUAUCACAUAUACCUUUGGUGUUGCCGGCCUUCUUGUCCACUAAGUAUUUGGGGCAGUUCCGCUUCCAAUGACCACUUCCCUUGCAAUAAAAGCACUCAGUCUCAGGCUUGGGUCCAUUCUUCGACUUCUUCCCAGUAACUGGCUUACCGGGCGCGUCAACUCCCUUGCCGUCCUUCUUGAAGUUCUUCUUACCCUUGCCCUUCUUGAACUUAGUGGUUUUAUUCACCAUCAACACUUGAUGUUCUUUUCUGAUCUCCACCUCCGCUGAUUUCAACAUUGAAUAUACCUCAGGAAUGGUCUUUUCCAUCCCCUGCAUAUUGAAGUUCAUCACAAAGCUCUUGUAGUUUGGUGGAAGCGACUGGAGGAUUUUGUCAAUGACCGCGUCAUCCGGGAGAUUAACUCCCAGCUGGGAUAAGCGGUUGUGUAACCCAGACAUUCUGAGUAUGUGCUCACUAACAGAACUAUUCUCCUCCAUUUUACAGCUGAAGAACUUGUCGGAGACUUCAUAUCUCUCGACCCGGGCAUGAGCUUGGAAAACCAUUUUCAGCUCCUCGAACAUCUCAUAUGCUCUAUGUUUCUCAAAACGCUUUUGGAGACCCGGUUCUAAGCUGUAAAGCAUGCCGCACUGAACGAGGGAGUAAUCAUCAGCACGCUGCUGCCAAGCGUUCAUAACGUCUUGGUUCUCUGGGAUUGGUGCUUCACCUAGCGGUGCUUCUAAGACAUAAUCUUUCUUGGCUGCUAUGAGGAUGAUCCUCAGGUUCCGGACCCAGUCCGUAUAGUUGCUGCCAUCAUCUUUCAGCUUGGUUUUCUCUAGGAACGCGUUGAAAUUGAGGACAACGUGGGCCAUUUGAUCUACAAGACAUAGUGUAAAGAUUUUAGACUAAGUUCAUGAUAAUUAAGUUCAUCUAAUCAAAUUACUCAAUGAACUCCCACUCAGAUAGACAUCCCUCUAGUCAUCUAAGUGAAACAUGAUCCGAGUUAACUAGGCCGUGUCCGAUCAUCACGUGAGACGGACUAGUCAAGAUCGGUGAACAUCUCCAUGUUGAUCGUAUCUUCUAUACGACUCAUGCUCGACCUUUCGGUCGUCCGUGUUCCGAGGCCAUGUCUGUACAUGCUAGGCUCGUCAAGUCAACCUAAGUGUAUUGCGUGUGUUCCGAGGCCAUGUCUGUACAUGCUAGGCUCGUCAACACCCGUUGUAUGCGAACGUUAGAAUCUAUCACACCCGAUCAUCACGUGGUGCUUCGAAACAACGAACCUUCGCAACGGUACACAGUUAGGGGGAACACUUUCUUGAAAUUAUCAUAAGGGAUCAUCUUACUUACUACCGUCGUUUUAAGCAAAUAAGAUGCAAAAACAUGAUAAACAUCACAUGCAAUCAAAUAGUGACAUGAUAUGGCCAAUAUCAUUAUGCUCCUUUGAUCUCCAUCUUCGGGGCACCAUGAUCAUCUUCAUCACCGGCAUGACACCAUGAUCUCCAUCAUCAUGAUCUCCAUCAUUGUGUCUUCAUGAAGUCGUCACGCCAACGAUUACUUCUAUUUCUAUGGCUAACACGUUUAGCAACAAAGUAAAGUAAUUUACAUGGCGUUAUUCAAUGACACGCAGGUCAUACAAAAUAAUAAAGACAACUCCUAUGGCUCCUGCCGGUUGUCAUACUCAUCGACAUGUAAGUCGUGAUUCCUAUUACAAGAAUAUGAUCAAUCUCAUACAUCACAUAUAUCAUUCAUCACAUCUUCUGGCCAUAUCACAUCACAUAGCACUUGCUGCAAAAACAAGUUAGACGUCCUCUAAUUGUUGUUGCAAGUUUUUUACGUGGCAUGUAUAGGUUUCUAGCAAGAACAUUUCUUAUCUACGUAAAACCACAACGUGAUUUGCCAAUUUCAAUUUACCCUUCAUAAGGACCCUUUUCAUCGAAUCCGUUCCGACUAAAGUAGGAGAGACAGACACCCGCUAGCCACCUUAUGCAACUAGUGCAUGUCAGUCGGUGGAACCUGUCUCACGUAAGCGUACGUGUAAGGUCGGUCCGGGCUGCUUCAUCCCACAAUACCGCCGAAACAAGAUACGACUAGUAGCGGCAAGAAGAAUUGGCAACAUCAACGCCCACAACUGCUUUGUGUUCUACUCGUGCAUAGUAACUACGCAUAGGCCUGGCUCAUGAUGCCACUGUUGGGGAUCGUAGCAGAAUUUUAAAAUUUUCCUACGCUCACCAAGAUCCAUCUAUGGAGUAUACUAGCAACGAGGGGAAAGGAGUGCAUCUACAUACCCUUGUAGAUCGCGAGCGGAAGCGUUCCAAUGAACGUUGUUGACGGAGUCGUACUCGCCGUGAUUCAAAUCACCGAUGACCGAGUGCCGAACGGACGGCACCUCCGCGUUCAACACACGUACGGUGCAGCGACGUCUCCUCCUUCUUGAUCCAGCAAGGGGGAAGGAGAGGUUGAUGGAGAUCCAGCAGCACGACGGCGUGGUGGUGGAUGUAGCGGGAUGUCGGCAGGGCUUCGCCGAGCUUCUGCGAGAGAGAGAGGUGUAGCAGGGGAGGAGGGAGGCGCCCAAGGCUGUAGUACUACUGCCCUCCCUCCCCCCCUUUAUAUAGGCCCCCUGGGAGGGGGGGGGGCGCCGGCCAGGAACCCAUCUGGAUGGGGGGCGGCCAGGGGGGUAACUUACCCCCCAAGUCAAGUGGGGCGCCCCCCCACCCUAGGGUUUCCAACCCUAGGCGCUGGGGGAGGCCCAUGGGGGGCGCCCCAGCCCACUAUGGGCUGGUUCCCUUCCCACUUCAGCCCAUGGGGCCCUCCGGGACGGGUGGCCCCACCCGGUGGACCCCCGGGACCCUUCCGGUGGUCCCGGUACAAUACCGAUAACCCCCGAAACUUUCCCGGUGGCCGAAACUGGACUUCCUAUAUAUAAUUCUUCACCUCCGGACCAUUCCGGAACUCCUCGUGACGUCCGGGAUCUCAUCCGAGACUCCGAACAACUUUCGGGUUUCCGCAUACUCAUAUCUCUACAACCCUAGCAUCACCGAACCUUAAGUGUGUAGACCCUACGGGUUCGGGAGACAUGCAGACAUGACCGAGACGCCUCUCCGGUCAAUAACCAACAGUGGGAUCUGGAUACCCAUGUUGGCUCCCACAUGUUCCACGAUGAUCUCAUCGGAUGAACCACGAUGUCGAGGAUUCAAUCAAUCCCGUAUACAAUUCCCUUUGUCAAUCGGUAUGUUACUUGCCCGAGAUUCGAUCGUCGGUAUCCCAAUACCUUGUUCAAUCUCGUUACCGGCAAGUCUCUUUACUCGUACCGCAAUGCAUGAUCACGUGACUAACGCCUUAGUCACAUUGAGCUCAUUAUGAUGAUGCAUUACCGAGUGGGCCCAGAGAUACCUCUCCGUCACACGGAGUGACAAAUCCCAGUCUCGAUUCAUGCCAACCCAACAGACACUUUCGGAGAUACCCGCAGUGUACCUUUAUAGUCACCCAGUUACGUUGUGACGUUUGGCACACCCAAAGCGCUCCUACGGUGUCCGGGAGUUGCACGAUCUCAUGGUCUAAGGAAUAGAUACCUGACAUUGGAAAAGCUCUAGCAAACGAAACUACACGAUCUUUUAUGCUAUGCUUAGGAUUGGGUCUUGUCCAUCACAUCAUUCUCCUAAUGAUGUGAUCCCGUUAUCAAUGAUAUCCAAUGUCCAUAGUCAGGAAACCUUGACUAUCUGUUGAUCAACGAGCUAGUCAACUAGAGGCUUACUAGGGCAUGUUGUGGUCUAUGUAUUCACACAUGUAUUACGAUUUCCGGAUAAUACAAUUAUAGCAUGAACAAUAGACAAUUAUCAUGAACAAAGAAAUAUAAUAAUAACCAUUUAUUAUUCCCUCUAGGGCAUAUUUCCAACAAUAUUUCCAACAUAAACCUCCUUAUAUCUUCCUCAAAACAGCCACCAUACCUACCUAUUAUGGCAUUUCCAUAGCCAUUCCGAGAUAUAUUGCCAUGCAACUUUCCACCGUUCCGUUUAUUAUGACACGGAUCAUCAUUGUCAUUGUCAUAUUGCCUUGCAUGAUCAUGUAGUUGACAUCGUAUUUGUGGCUAAGCCACCAUUCAUAAUUCUUUCAUACAUGUCACUCAUAAGUCAUUGCCCAUCCCGAUACACCGUCGGAGGCAUUCAUAUAGAGUCAUACUUUGUUCUAGUAUCGAGUUGUAAUCAUUGAGUUGUAAAUAAAUAGAAGUGUGAUGAUCAUCAUUAAUAGAGCAUUGUCCCAAUAAAAAAAGAACAAAAAAAGAAAGGACAAAUAAAAAGGAAAGGCCAAAUAAAAGAAGGAAAAAAAAGAAAGGCCAAAUAAAAAAAAGGGAGGCCCAAAAAAAGAAGAACGGACAAUGCUACUAUCCUUUUUCGACACUUGUGCUUCAAAGUAGCACCAUGAUCUUUAUGAUAGAGAGUCUCUUAUUUUGUCACUUGCAUAUACUAGUGGGAAUUUUUCAUUAUAGAACCUGGCUUGUAUAUUCCAACAAUGGGCUUCCUCAAAUGCCCUAGGUCUUCAUGAGCAAGCAAGUUGGAUGCACAUCCACUUAGUUUAUUUUGUUGAGCUUUCAUACAUUUAUAGCUCUAGUGCAUCCGUUGCAUGGCAAUCCCUACUCCUUGCAUUGACAUCAAUUGGUGGGCAUCUCCCUAGCCCGUUGAUUAGCCGCGUCAAUGUGAGACUUUCUCCUUUUUUGUCUUCUCCACACAACCCCCAUUAUCAUAUUCUAUUCCACCCAUAGUGCUAUAUCCAUGGCUCACGCUCAUGUAUUGCGUGAAGGUUGAAAAAGUUUGAGAUUACUAAAGUAUGAAACAAUUGCUUGGCUUGUCAUCGGGGUUGUGCAUGAUGAGAGCAUUCUUGUGUGAUGAAAAUGGUGAAGGAAAUAUGCCCUAGAGGCAAUAAUAAAGUUAUUAUUUAUUUCCUUAUAUCAUGAUAAAUGUUUAUUAUUCAUGCUAGAAUGGUAUUAACCGGAAACAUAAUACUUGUGUGAAUACAUAGACAAACAGAGUGUCACUAGUAUGCCUCUACUUGACUAGCUCGUUGAUCAAACAUGGUUAUGUUUCCUAGCCAUAGACAUGAGUUGUCAUUUGAUUAACGGGAUCACAUCAUUAGGAGAAUGAUAUGAUUGACUUGACCCAUUCCGUUAGCUUAGCACUCGAUCGUUUAGUAUGUUGCUAUUGCUUUCUUCAUGACUUAUACAUGUUCCUAUGACUAUGAGAUUAUGCAACUCCCGUUUACCGGAGGAACACUUUGUGUGCUACCAAACAUCACAACGUAACUGGGUGAUUAUAAAGGUGCUCUACAGGUGUCUCCGAAGGUACUUGUUGGGUUGGCGUAUUUUGAGAUUAGGAUUUGUCACUCCGAUUGUCGGAGAGGUAUCUCUGGGCCCUCUCGGUAAUGCACAUCACUUAAGCCUUGCAAGCAUUGCAACUAAUGAGUUAGUUGUGGGAUGAUGUAUUACGGAACGAGUAAAGAGAUUUGCCGGUAACGAGAUUGAACUAGGUGUUGAGAUACCGACGAUCGAAUCUCGGGCAAGUAACAUACCGAUGACAAAGGGAACGACGUAUGUUGUUAUGCGGUCUGACCGAUAAAGAUCUUCGUAGAAUAUGUGGGAGCCAAUAUGAGCAUCCAGGUUCCGCUAUUGGUUAUUGACCGGAGACGUGUCUCGGUCAUGUCUACAUAGUUCUCGAACCCGUAUGGUCCGCACGCUUAACGUUUCGAUGACAGUUAUAUUAUGAGUUUAUAUGUUUUGAUGUACUGAAGGUUGUUCGGAGUCCCGGAUGUGAUCACGGACAUGACGAGGAGUCUCGAAAUGGUCGAGAAAUGAAGAUUGAUAUAUUGGAUGACUAUAUUCGGACACCGGAAUGGUUCUGGGGGUUAUCGGAUAUAUACCGGAGUACCGGGGGUUACCGGAACCCCCCGGAGGCUAUUGGGCCUCAUGGGCCCAAUUGGUGGAAGAGGAGAGGCGGCCAAGGGGCAGCCGCCACCCCCCCAAGUCCGAAUUGGACAAGGAGGGGGGGCGGCGCCCCCCCUUUCCUUUCCCCCUCUCUCCUUCCCUCUCCUCUCCUAGUCCAACAAGGAAGGGAGGGAGUCCUACUCCCACCGGGAGUAGGACUCCUCCUGGCGCGCCUCCUCCCUGGCCGGCCGCACCUCCCCCCUUGCUCCUUUAUAUACGGGGGCAGGGGGGCACCCCAAAGACACAACAAUUGAUCGCUUGAUCUUUUAGCCGUGUGCGGUGCCCCCCUCCACCAUAGUCCACCUCGAUAAUACUGUAGCGGUGCUUAGGCGAAGCCCUGCGUCGGUAGAACAUCAUCAUCGUCACCACGCCGUCAUGCUGAAGAAACUCUCCCUCAACACUCGGCUGGAUCGGAGUUCGAGGGACGUCAUCGGGCUGAUCGUGUGCUGAACUCGGAGGUGCCGUGCGUUCGGUACUUGAUCGGUCGGAUCGUGAAGACGUACGACUACAUCAACCGCGUUGUGCUAACGCUUCCGCUUCCGGUCUACGAGGGUACGUGGACAAGACUCUCCCCUCUCGUUGCUAUGCAUCACCAUGAUCUUGCGUGUGCGUAGGAAUUUUUUUGAAAUUACUACGUUCCCCAACAAAUGGAGCAUGACCAAACUAUAUGAUUUUGUAGGGACGAACUUUCUUUGGCCAUGCUAUUUUGAGGAGACAUGAUUGCUUUGUUAGUAUGCUUCAAGUAUUACUAUCUCUUAUGUCAAUAUGAACUUUUAUUUUGAAUCAUUUGGAUCUGAACAUUCAUACCACAAUAAAUAAAAUUACAUUGAGAAGUAUGCUAGGUAGCAUUCCACAUCAAAAAUUCUAUUUUUAUCAUUUACCUACUCGAGGACGAGCAGGAAUUAAGCUUGGGGAUGCUUGAUACGUAUCCAACGUAUCUAUAAUUUUUGAUUGUUCCAUGCUAUUAUAUUACCUGUUUUGGAUGUUUGUGGGCUUUACUUUACACUUUUAUAUCAUUUUUGGGACUAACCUACUAACCGGAGGCCCAGCCCAAAUUGCUGUUUUCUUGCCUAUUUCAGUGUUUCGAAGAAAAAGAAUAUCAAACGGAGUCCAAACGGAAUGAAACCUUCGAGAGAGUUAUUUUUGGAAAGGAAGCAAUCCAGGAGACUUGGAGUGUAUGUCAGGGAAGCAACGAGGUGGCAACGAGGCAGGGAGGCGCGCCUGCCCCUGGGCGCGCCCCCACCCUCGUGGGCCUCUCGUGGCUCCCCUGACCGACUUCUUUCACCUAUAUAUAUACAUAUACCCUAAAAACAUCGGGGAACAGAAUAGAUCGGGAGUUCCGCCGCCGCAAGCCUCUUUAGCCACCAAAAACCAAUCGGGCCCUGUUCCGGCACCCUGCCGGAGGGGGGAUCCCUCACCGGUGGCCAUCUUCAUCAUCCCGGCGCUCUCCAUGAUGAGGAGGGAGUAGUUCACCCUCGGGGCUGAGGGUAUGUACCAGUAGCUAUGUGUUUGAUCUCUCUCUCUCUCUCUCGUGUUCUUGAUUUGGCACGAUCUUGAUGUAUCGCGAGCUUUGCUAUUAUAGUUGGAUCUUAUGAUGUUUCUCCCCCUCUACUCUCUUGUAUGGAUUGAGUUUUCCUUUGAAGUUAUCUUAUCGGAUUGAGUCUUUAAGGAUUUGAGAACACUUGAUGUAUGUCUUGCGUGGGAUACCCGUGGUGACAAUGGGGUAUUCUAUUGAUUCACUUGAUGUAUGUUUUGGUGAUCAACUCGCGGGUUCCGUGACCUUGGGAAUCUAUGCAUAGGGGUUGGCACACGUUUUCGUCUUGACUCUCCGGUAGAAACUUUGGGGCACUCUUUGAAGUUCUUUGUGUUGGUUGAAUAGAUGAAUCUAAGAUUGUGUGAUGCAUAUCGUAUAAUCAUACCCACUGAUACUUGUGGUGACAUUGGAGUAUCUAGGUGACAUUAGGGUUUUGGUUGAUUUGUGUCUUAAGGUGUUAUUCUAGUAUGAACUCUAUGAUAGAACGAACGGAAAGAAUAGCUUCGUGUUAUUUUACUACGGACUCUUGAAUAGAUCGAUCAGAAAGAAUAAGUUUGAGGUGGUUUCGUACCCUACCAUAAUCUCUUCGUUUGUUCUCCGCUAUUAGUGACUUUGGAGUGACUCUUUGUUGCAUGUUGAGGGAUAGUUAUAUGAUCCAAUUAUGUUACUAUUGUUGAGAGAACUUGCACUAGUGAAAGUAUGAAUCCUAGGCCUUGUUUCCUAGCAUUGCAAUAUCGUUUACGCUCACUUUUUUCGCUUGCUACCUUGCUGUUUUUAUAUUUUCAGAUUACAAAAACCUAUAUCUACCAUCCAUAUUGCACUUGUAUCACCAUCUCUUCGCCGAACUAGUGCACCUAUACAAUUUACCAUUGUAUUGGGUGUGUUGGGGACACAAGAGACUCUUUGUUAUUUGGUUGCAGGGCUGUUUGAGAGAGACCAUCUUCAACCUACGCCUCCCACGGAUUGAUAAACCUUAGGUCAUCCACUUGAGGGAAAUUUGCUACUGUCCUACAAACCACUGCACUUGGAGGCCAACAACGUCUACAAGAAGAAGGUUGUGUAGUAGACAUCAGGGUGGAGGGCUUACAGAGAGGGGAGAGGCGGAGGCGGGGAGGUGCUCGGCGACGGAGGUAGGGGUGGCGAGGGCGGGCUCAGGAUCGGGAGGCGGCAGUCCUGGGCGGGCUCGGGCGGCGGCGGCGAGGUCGAGACCGGCGGCGGUGAGGUCGAAGGCGGCGACGGUGAGGUCGAGAGCAGCGGCGGGCGGCGGCGGUGAGGUUGAGGGCGGCCUCGGGCGGCGGCGGUGAGGGCAGGCUCGGGCUCGGGCGGCGACGACAGCGGAGUUAGGGGAACAUGGGGGAAAGGAGGACUUAGCAAAAUUUUGAGCCCGCGGGAAAGGGGGAUAUUUUCUUUUUUUCAUUUGUCUGUUUCCUACUUCUUUCAUUUUGAUAAACUUUUCUAUUUUUUUCAUUUUUCUUUUCUUUCUCAGCAGUAGCUCUCUAAGCAGGAAACGCGCUGCAACAACGACCAUAGUGGUAGCGCGCUUCGUGCGGAACCGCUACUACUUUUCCUAGCCUACCGCCAACACGGUGGGAUUUAUAGUGGUAGCGCUUUUUCUUGCACACGCGCUACUGAUAUAGUUGUAGCUAUAGCGCGCUUUCCUGGAACGCGCUACUACAAAGUAGCAGUAGCGCCCCGAUUUAACCAGCGCUACUACUAUACCUCUGUGUAUAGGCUUUUCCCUAGUAGUGUAAGCAUCAAAAACAGAAUCUAUCUUAAACAGGACAGUUUGUAGUAAUCUGAACAUUCACCAUACCUCUGGUACUCCAAAAAUUCUGAAACAAUUAGGAAAAAUAAACAAUUUGUAUAGAAAGACAGUGCAAAAAGUUUCAGAACCAUUUGACAUUCCAGUAAAAAAAUGUAAAAUCGCGCACUACAACCAAAGUUUCUGUUUUGCACCGCACAAACCAACAAGCAAUGUAAACAUCCUAUAGGCAAAUCUUGGCACAUUAUUUUUGUUAUUAAACUUUAUAAAAGCACACAACAGAAAUAAAUGACUCUCUAAAACUUCCGGGUUGUCUCCCUGGCAUCGCUUUCUUUAAAGCCAUUAAGCAUUUAAGCUAGCUAGGCAUAUAGUGCUCAAGUAAUGGAUCCACCUGGAUCCCAAGGUAUAUCAAAGCCAAUUUUAAUUAACAAUGAUUUGUGAUUUAGUAGUGAGCACAAAGUAACAUAUAUCAUGCAACAACGAAGUCUAACUCUCUUCCUAUGCAUCGGCAUGUCAUAAAAGAACAAUUCAUGCACACAUAGGAAAGGCCCAUGCAUAGUAUAAAUAGUUUCUUGCAAUUUUAUCAUAUUGGAAACAUGGAGAGGCGGAUAUGUAGUUCCUCUCUCAUAAUAAUUGCAAGUAGGAGCAAAGAGCAUAUGCAUAUUAUAUCUAUCAAAAUCAUCAUGUGUAGUAGUGAAACGCAACCCAUCAAUAUAAUCCUUAAUAAGGGCAAACUUCUCCGAUAUAGUGUAGUUGGGAGAAUUCAAAAAGAUAAUAGGACUAUCAUGCGUGGGUGCAAUAGCAACAAUUUCAUGUUUAACAUAAGGAACUAUAGCAAGUUCAUCUCCAUAAGCAUAAUUCAUAUUGGCAUCUUGGCCACAAGCAUAGCAAGCAUCAUCAAAAAGGGAUAUUUCAAAAGAAUCAACGGGAUCAUAACAGUCAUCAUAGCAAUCAUCCUUUGGUAAGCACGAAGGGAAAUUAAACAAUGUAUGAGUUGAAGAGUUACUCUCAUUAGAAGGUGGGCACGGGUGAUCAAUCCGCUCUUCCUCCUUUUGUUCUUUGCUCUCCUCUUCAUCUUUUUCAUCCAAUGAGCUCACAAUGUCACUAAUUUCUUCUUCCAUAGACUCCUGCAAAAUAUUAAUCUCUUCUUGGACAGCGAAGACUCUCUCAAUAAAAUCAUCAAUAUCGGAAUUGAAUUCAUAAUUCUCAUAGCAAUAUUUAAGUAUAGCAAAAUUUUCAGGUCUAUAAACUGAAACAUCCAAAUCUUCAAACUCUUUAAACAAAGAUUCAAUUUCAUAAGCACCCAUAAAAGCAACAAACUCUUCUAUUUGUUCCACAUCAUAGUAAUCAUAUAUACCAUUAGCAUAAGAAGCUAAGGUUUCAUUAUCAUUAAAUUCACAUGAAAAUGGAAGGUGUGGAGCCUUCAUCCUAGAGCAACAAGUAUAAUCAUAUCUCAAGCAUAGUUGUCGAGCAUACCAAUAUAACAUAUAAAUUUGAUCCCAUAAUAGUUUCCCUUUUUGAGUCAAGCGAUAAUCCCUAAAGUAUUCACAUUGAUCCAAUGUGUCUCCCAUAACAUAAUUGAAUGGGGUUUUCUCAGGAUUAUCAAAGUAGUACAUAAUAUCUUUCACAUAAUGGUCAUCGAGGGUUUUAGGAGGUUCCCCAUCUCCAUGAGUAGCAAGUACCACUAUUUUUUUGGUGUUUCGUGUUCCAUAUCCAUAACUAAAGAUAGAAAACAACUUAGAACAGGAAAUAAAAACUACUUGGUGAUAAAGCAAACAAGCACACACGAGAAUAUUCACCCCACGCUAUGACUCCCCAGCAACAGCGCCAGAAAAAGGUCUUGAUAACCCACAAGUAUAGGGGAUCAAUUGUAGCCUCUUUCGAUAAGUAAGAGUGUCGAACCCAACGAGGAGCUAAAGUUAGAACAAAUAUUCCCUCAAGUUCUAUCGACCACCGAUACAACUCUACGCACGCUUAACGUUCGCUUUACCUAAAACAAGUAUGAAACUAAAAGUACUUUGUAGGUGUUGUUGGAUAGGUUUGCAAGAAUAUAAAGAGUACACAAAUAAAACUAGGGGCUGGUUAGAUAAAGACACAAUAAAGUUAGUAUAGCGAGUGUGGAAAAGUGGUGGUAGGAGUCGCGAAAUUGUCCCUAAGCAAUUGACUACUUUACUAGACCGAUAGCAAGUUUUAUGUGGGAGAGGCCACUGCUAGCAUGUCAUCCCUGACUUGGAAUUCUAUGCACUUAUGAUUGGAACUAUUAGCAAGCAUCCGCAACUACUAACGUUCAUUAAGGUAAAACCCAACCAUAGCAUGAAGAUAUAUUGGUCCCCCUUCAAUCCCGUAUGCAUCAAUUUCUAUGCUAGGUUGAAGCUUCUGUCACUCUUGCCCUCCAAUACAUAGUCCUAUCAACAUACAACUAAUCCUAUGGUGUGAUCCACGCGCACGCUCAUAUGAUGGGCACCAAAGGACAGCAACAUAACCACAAGCAAAUUAAACCAAUCAUAGCAAUUCACCAAUUACCGGUAGGACAACGAAAAUCUACUCAGACAUCAUAGGAUGGCAACACAUCAUUGGAUAAUAAUAUGAAGCAUAAAGCACCAUGUUCAAGUAGAGGGUACAGCGGGUUGCGGAAGAGUGGACCACUGUAGAUAGAUGGGGGAAGGUGAUGAAGAUGUUGGUGAAGAUGACGGAGCUGUUGGUGUAGAUUGCGGUGAUGAUGAUGGCCCCGACGACGUUCCAGCACCACCGGAAGAGAGGGGGAGAGGGCCCCCCUCCUUCUUCUUCUUCCUUGACCUUCCCCCUAGAUGGGAGAAGGGUUUCCCCUCUGGUCCUUGGCUUCGAUGGCGGCGGAGGGGCGAGAGCCCCUCCGAGAUUGGAUCUGUCUCUCUGUCUCUCUCUGUUUCUGCGUUCCCUGAUUCUGCCCUUUCACCGUUUCUUAAAUUCCCGGAGAUCCGUAACUCCGACUGGACUGAAAUUUGGACACAAAUUUUAUUCGGAUAUUGGCUUUCUUGCGGCGAAAUAAGGGCACCAACCGCCUUACGGGGUGACCACGAGGGCCCAGGGCGCGCCUGACCCCCUGGGGCGCGCCCCUCACCCUCGUGGGCCCCUGGGGCAUCGUCUCGCGUUGAUUCCACUUCCCAAAAUUCACAUAUAUUCCAAAAAAAAUCUCCGUCAGUUUUUAUCCCGUUUGGACUCCGUUUGAUAUGGAUUUUCUGCGAAACAAAAAACAUGCAAUAAACAGGAACUGGCACUGGCCACUGGAUCAAUAUGUUAGUCCCAAAAAUAGUAUAAAAAGUUGCCAAAAGUAUAUGAAAGUUGUAUAAUAUUGGCAUGGAACAAUAAAAAAUUAUAGAUACGAUGGAGACGUAUCAACCAAGUAGGAGUCCCUACUUGGGCGCCUCCUCCAAGUUGGCCUCCCCCCUUCCAUAAGUGUCUGAGGGGGAAGGAAAGAGAAGGGGGGAGAGAAGGAAAGGGGGAGGUCGAAUCCUCCCCUUUCCUUUCUCCCUUCCCCUCCUUCCUUCUCCUAUUCAGCUUAUAUGGGGGCGCACCAGCCCACUAGGGGCUGGUCUGUCCCGCCCUUGGCCCAAUAAGGCCCAUAUCUUUGCCGGGGGGGGGGGGUGCCCGGAACCCCUUCCGGUGACCCGAUACGUACCCGGUACCCCCGGAACACUUCCUGUGUCCGAAUACUAUCGUCCUAUAUAUGAAUCUUUACCUGCCGACCAUUUCGAGACUCCUCGUCAUGUCCGUGAUCUCAUCUGGUACUCCGAACAAUAUUCUAUAGUGAUCCAAACUCAGACGGUCAAAUCUCUGUGCAUAAGUGUCAUCCCUGGAUCGGUGAUGCUGACACACACACACACACACACAGUACUCGAAGGAUUUAUAACAGAGUGCAAUCACACACUUAUUACAUUGAAUGUCUCAAAAGAGAACUUAUUACAAUAAUAUGGCUUAAGGCCGUCUAAAUAAGAUAACUGCGGAAGCAUCAAAGGUAAAUGAGUCCAUCAACUCCAACGGCAUAGCUGAGUGCACGACAACGACCUAGCGCACCUUACUCUUCGUCUGAAAAGUCUGCAACAAAAUACGUUGAAGCCCGAAAACGGGUCAGCACAUGGAAUAUGCUGGCAAAAUAACACUGUAGAGCAAUGAACAAGAUAAAUGCUAACACUACAUGCAUAUAUGGCUGGUGGAGGCUCUAUGGUUAUGAUGUUUUUGCAGAAAGCCAAUUUUUCCCUACUGCAAAGGAAUAUAUUUUAUUUAACUACAAAGUUGGUUGAAAACAUUGAGAAUGGAAACCCGAUCUCAAUCCCAAUUAAAUAGUAAUUAACAACCCAACAAAUUUAAUUUAGAAUGUUGAGAUCACAUCAAUAAUUCAAGAACCAGAUACUCAAGAUGUCCAUAACCGGGGACACGACUAACCAUGAUUAGUUUGUACACUCUGCAGAGGUUUGCGCAGUUUUCCCGCAAGACUCGAUCUCCUCCGUUGUAUUUCUCGCACUGCAUGAUGUUUGAGAAACGGAUGACCGAGACACAGUCUUUCCGAAGAGGUCUCCUUAAUCGAUAGAUAGGCCGGUACACCUACAAUCCCCUACAUCUUCUAGCCCAUCAUGGAAAGGUUUCCCAUAACUUACUCAACUAUGCCAGAGCCCAUAAUGGCUUGUGACUGUGCACGGAAGUUUCUAGCAUGAAUAAUCUUAUGAUCCCUUUGAGCCUGGGUGGUGAACCAUAGGAUGAUCACAAGGAUUCCCCGGGAUCUCUUUGGACAACACUGGAUUCCCCAGGUGCCCACAAACAAUCCACCCAGAUGUGUAUUAAAGUAGCCACCUUAAAUAAACCCUUAGUUCAAUGAUACUCACAACUUUCAUGAAUCUCUCAAACCAAACCACGUCUACGAGCAUAGCAUAGCAGUAUAAGCAUAACGUAGUAACUCCGAGGGUUUAAAUAAAAGACAAUAGGUUCUACCUCAUCAACUACUUCCCAAUACCCACAUGUUAUCAAUCCUACUCAUGAAAUGUUUGAGGAUAAAAGCUAAUGCAUAAAAAAACUGGGUAUGAAGAGUAUGAUCAAAGUGUUACUUGCCUUGCUGAUGAUUUGAAAACCCUAGUGACUCGUAGUAGCACGCUUCGCACUCCGGAAAUUCUAUCGCAAACAAACAAUAGCAUACAUAAGCACUCAAGCAUAGAUGCAAGGGUAAAACUCAAAUAGAAAGAUCCAAACUGAAAGUUCAACUGAAGAGCUUCGAUUUGCAAAAAGAAACAAUUGAAUCGGAGCUACGGAACUGAAACUACGAUCAAAAGAAGUUCGAAUUCAAAUCUGCUUGAAACCAAAUUUUAAUUUGUCAAAACCAUGUUCAAGUUGAUUAACUGGAAAGAGGGGUUUGAGACAAAGAUUUUGGCGUUGUUUUCACUGGAUUUGGACGAACGGUUAAAAAGUUGCGAGGGUUUGAAGAUCAGGGGCUAAUCUGUGAUAAAAAUAUUCACGGAUAGGUCCCUGGCCGAAAAUAAAAUAAAAGAAAAAGACUAGCGAACGAACGUUAGUUAUCAGAGACGAACGAAUGAACUCGUUAGCGAAAAGAUGCGUUCGGGCGAACGUUCGCUAAUUAGCGAAACCGAAAAAACCGAUCCAACGAAAACCAGAAAAAAACGAGCGACGGCGACGGUUUUUACCGGUUCUUCGAAAAAAGACCGGCGGCGGCGAGAUCCGGCGGGGCUGCGGCUCGGGCGGCGGGGUCGGCAGGGUGGGGCGACGGCGGCGGCUGCGGCUGGUGCUGUGGAGGAGGCGGGCGGCGGUGGUGAGGACAGAGGGGUCGNNNNNNNNNNNNNNNNNNNNNNNNNNNNNNNNNNNNNNNNNNNNNNNNNNNNNNNNNNNNNNNNNNNNNNNNNNNNNNNNNNNNNNNNNNNNNNNNNNNNNNNNNNNNNNNNNNNNNNNNNNNNNNNNNNNNNNNNNNNNNNNNNNNNNNNNNNNNNNNNNNNNNNNNNNNNNNNNNNNNNNNNNNNNNNNNNNNNNNNNNNNNNNNNNNNNNNNNNNNNNNNNNNNNNNNNNNNNNNNNNNNNNNNNNNNNNNNNNNNNNNNNNNNNNNNNNNNNNNNNNNNNNNNNNNNNNNNNNNNNNNNNNNNNNNNNNNNNNNNNNNNNNNNNNNNNNNNNNNNNNNNNNNNNNNNNNNNNNNNNNNGGAACUUUUUUUAAAUAAAUUCCGCCGAAAAACAAAAAUGCCAAAAACAAUUUUCACCAUGUAAAUAAAAUAUUUAGAACAAAGCGAACAUUUUUCUGGCCUAAAAAUGCAAUUUUGAAAAAUGCAUAAUUUUCUAAUUCAAAUAAAAUAGCAAUAAAAUUCCAAAUAAAAUAUUUAUUUGAUUUUAACAUUUUUAUCCAAUAUUCCCCUCUUAUUUUGGAGAAGUCAUUUUAUCUCCUCUUAUUUAUUUUAAUAUCGGAAAUAUUUCGGAGAGAAAACAUAUUAAAACUAAAAUGAUCCUCUUUUCAAAUUUGAGAAAAUUCAAAUAUGAAAAUUAUGAAAUCCCCAACUCUCUCCGUGGGUCCUUGAGUUGCUUAAGAUUUCUAGGAUCACAAACAGAAUGCAAAUAAAAAUAUGAUGUGCAUAUGAUGACCUAUGUAUAACAUCCAAAUUGAAAAUUGGGAUGUUACACAUUCAGUCACCAAAUCACAUAACUCAUAUAAUACAAAAUCAUCAUCGAACAUUAAGCGUGCGGACCCUACGGGUUCGAGAACUAUGUAGACAUGACCGAGACACCUCUCCGGUCAAUAACCAACAACGGAACCUGGAUGCUUAUAUUGGUUCCUACAUAUUCAACGAAGAUCUUUAUCGGUCGUAGCGCAAUGUCAACAUACGUAAUUCCCUUUGUAAUGGGUAUGUUACUUGCCCGAAUUCGAUCGUCGGUAUCUUCAUACCUAGUUCAAUCUCAUUACCGGCAAGUCUCUUUACUCGUUCCGUAAUACAUCAUCCCGCAACUAACUCAUUAGUUGCAUUGCUUGCAAGGCUUAUUAUGAUGUGCAUUACCAAGAGGGCCCAGAGAUACCUCUCUGAUACUCGGAGUGACAAAUCCUAAUCACAAUCUAUGCCAACCCAACAAACACCUUCGGAGAUACCUGUAGAGCAUCUUUAUAAUCACCCAGUUACAUUGUGAUGUCUGAUAGCACACAAGGUAUUCCUACGGUAUCCGGGAGUUACAUAAUCUCAUAGUCAAAGGAAUAUGUAUAUGCCAUGAAGAAAUCAAUAGCAAUAAAACUUAACGAUCAUUAUGCUAAGCUAACAGAUGGGUCUUGUCCAUCACAUCAUUCUCCUAAUGAUGUGACCCCAUUCAUCAAAUGACAACACAUGUCUAUGGUUAGGAAACUUAACCAUCUUUGAUUAAUGAGCUAGUCUAGUAGAGGCUUACUAGGGACACUGUGUUUUGUCUAUGUAUCCACACAUGUAUCAAGUUUCCGGUUAAUACAAAUGUAGCAUGAAUAAUAAAAAUUUAUCAUGAUAUAAGGAAAUAUAGAUAACAACUUUAUUAUUGCCUCUAGGGCAUAUUUCCUUCACAUAUUUAUCCACUUCAUCACCACCAGCUCCAUCAACAAAGCCUAGCCAUCUCCAUCUAUAACAACCGCUAUAGAUCAAUUGAUGUAAUCACUUCCUGGUGUUAAUUGCUAUCUAGUAUUUGAUACUUGGUGAUUUUUUUAAAUGAAAGAUUUAUACUUUUAGAUUGUUUAUCGUAUCAACCUUCACUGAUCAUGUUCAUUAUGAUGUUUUAUGAGUAGUCCAUUAUGUUCUUGAGGACAUGAGAGGAAGCCUGUUGUUGCAAGCAAUAUGAAUUUGCUUAAAGUUUGAUGUUUUUAUAUUAUGUUGUGGUGUAAGUCUCUACUGGUGAUGUGUGAACAUAGACUUUAUAUACCAUUUCACCUUUAUGAUAAGUGUAGGACGGGAGACCGAAGUGACAUAAUACCGAACCCCAAAUUUAUAAGUUGUAGCAUAAGGAAGUGAAUAGGGACCCCAAAUUUUAAUGCUAUGUUUAUAUUUUAUCUUAAUUAUUCUUACUAUUUCGAAUGCUUGCUAAGGGUUUAAUCAUAAGUAUGUUUAUGGCAAUGUAUUGGCAACACAUAAGCUUAGGCUCUAUCCGCAUGACAUGUAUCAAAUCAACAAAAGUUAUUGUAACAGAGUGUGGUGGCAAUAGGUGAAAUUCCCGCCGUCCCCGAGAACAUUUUAGUCCAUAAAAGAAACAUAAUAAAAGGAUUCUGCCACUUACUACACUAUUUACUUUCAUUGUCAUUUAAAUUCUUACACUUGUUCUCUCAAUAAAACAAACAACCUUCUGGCAUUUGUAGCGAUUCCUAACUAAUUUUCACGCACCAAUUCCUUAUGUUGCUCAUUGGGUUCGAUACACUCAACUUACCGAAAAAUAUGUACAAUCGAUCCCCUAAAUUUGUAGGUUAUCACUUAUCUCCAUUAUAAAUUUACAUUAUUAUGAGAGGGGGGAAAUCACCCUGCGCCAUUUUAUCCGAUAUCAUAUCUUUCUAGUGAGAACUGAGAAGUGCACUUGAUAUUCACCUCUUACAUACAAUUUGUUCUAUAUGUCCUAAUAAAAUACAUCAUUUUUGGACUAAAUUGGUAGACUGCUAUAUUCUUUUGUUCAGGGAUUGCCUACUUCUGGUUCGUCAAUAUAUGCCAAUUUCUAUCUGUCAAGGCCAAUGCUCACUAAAUUAGAUUGAUCUCGUUGGCUCUUUCUUUUGUUGUAUACAAGAAUAUUCAGACGCCACAUAAUCCAUGUUUUUGACACUACGUGAUAAAACAUACUCCCUCCGUUCCAUAAUGUAGUGCGUGUAGAUUUUUAAAAAGUCAAACUUUGCAUACUUUGACCAAAUUUGUAGAAAAACUAUUUAUAUCUACAAUACCGAAUAUAUAAAAUAUGAAACUACGUCUUAUGAGAAAUUUAAUGAUAUAUGUUUGGCAUUCUAAAUAUAAAUGUUUUUCUCCAUAAAUUUGGUCAAAAUUUAUGACGGUUGACUUUUCUAAAAAUCUAUAUGCACCACAGUAUCAUUUCCGGCUAUCCAAGCAGGCCCGAAGAUAUUUUUUUACUUUGGCACCACACUACAAACUGGUUAGCACCAGGUAGAGUCGGUGCUAAGAUUUACACUGAAUGUUAACCAACAUUGGUCAUGGCCCUAAAGAACAUAUGCACCUUGUUUCCAAUAAAUGCUACUGGACUAAAUUACCAUUUUAUCGAUUUCAUUUUUGUCUGGACCAUUGCACCACCCCGUGCCACACCCGAUGCGUGUCACCCCAGUCUGUGCCGAAACACAUCAUCAUCGUCUCCGCCAAGCUCCACAUCACCACCUUCGAGAAGCAAAGGAAAAAAACCAUCAAUUUCAUCCAAGGCACAAGCAAUUUAUCUCAAGCUAGUUCCCAACUGAAGAACACUGUUGAAAUGGCAAAGAAUCGGUACUGCUCCUGCCGACUACCACUGUUGCUCGGAGCAGUUGCAUCCUGAUCCUAGUUGUCAUAGGGAGGCAGGAGCAAUGGAGCCAUCGGGGACGAGGAGGAGGACGCCAGUGCCGGUCGGUCGGGUGGCUCGGUUGCAGCUCGACCAGCGGUGUGGCGAGGUCGUGUGGGUCGGGUGAGGCUCGACCAGGUGGGCUGGGUCUGGUUCAGUGCAAAUAAACCAGAGGAAAAACAAGAAUGUAAACUAAACCGUCGUCGUGGCAUGCACAGCCAACGAGAAACAAGGAUUUCUUUAGAUGAGGUAAUUUGUGGAAAAAGUUUGAUUAAAUUGAGUAAAAAUGUGUUUUUUGGUAAAUACUGACACAAACGUGAAACUAGGUAUGUGUAAAAGAAUGGAAUUCAUUCAAAAAAAUAAGGCGGAUAGGUGGUGCUCAUGCAAACCGAGAUUUGAAUUUGUCUCUAUUUUUCUCGCAUUUUUUUGCUCUUUUUCUUGACAAAUCUCGAUCCACCUUUUUUUGCUCUAAUUCUGUUGAGGGAAACGCGUGUGAUAACGCAGUCAGAGUCGGAUUAGGCCGGACCGCAGCACAUGCUUUUGAGGCCGUACUUUGUGAAGAAGAAACACCCCUCCGUUUGGCCCUCCUCUUUCGGGCGGAAACCCUCGUCGCCGAAAUGGAAGCCGCCGCCCGAUCCCAUGCUCAUAUCCCUCGUCCCUCCCGUCGGGCGAAGCGGCCAAGGAUCAUCUGUUCCUAUUGCGAGAGCGAAGGAGGAGGAGGAGGAGGAGACGAUGGAAGAAAACCAUCAUCUCGGCAGGGAAGGAAACGGCCUCAUCAUCGUCUGAGACCUUGCUCCAGCCAGCUCCCCAAUUGGGGGGCGAAGCGCGCACGCACACCGCGGACUAUGACUCCCAUCCGAUCUGAUUUGCUCUCCCCUCCCAGUAGGGACUGGUCUGAUCUAGACGACGGGCCGGCCGGGCUGAUCGCCGAGCGCGUCCUCGCGUAUGACGUCGCCGACUAUCUCCGCUUCCGUGCCGUGUGCCGCGCAUGGCGGCAGUGCUGCACAGAACCGUGCUCCCACAGCGGGCUCGACCGCCGGUUCCAUCCCUGGCGGUGGGUCCUGCUCCACGACCCCCUCGCUGCUCCCAACCGUCGUAGCUUCCUCAACUCUUCCACUGGCGAGUGCAUUCAACUGGACAUCCCAGAGCUCGUUGACCAUGAGCUGCUGGGUGUCACCCCCGAGGGCCUCCCAGAGUAAAUUGCAAAAACCCACCACAAUUCGGGACCCUAAUUCACAAAACCAUCAUCAUUCAAUUUUUUUUUUCAAAAAACCACCAACAAUGCGUUGACAGUUUUCAAAAAACGCUGAUUAAGCGAUUAGAGCUGUUUGAGACAAAACCUGACUGGCGGGUCCCGAUGGCAGGUCCACGUGGUGGCGGAAGAACAGACGGCGCUGCUAGUCAACCUGUCUCCCUCUGACCUUUCCCCGCACGGAGCCGUUAGGUGAGGAGCGCCUCGCGCAUCUGAACACGCACGACCCCGCCGGCUCCGGCCAGCUUGACCGCCGGCCGACGAGCCUCCCAGCACCGCCAUGCACCGUGUCGGCGAGCUGUCCGAUGGCAUCGAUGGCGGCCAGUGAGGCUGGCGUGCCUAGGGUGGGGCUGCCGCCUAGUGCCCAUGGCCAUGUCUCGGCCGCCGCGGAGCGCGCCGCGGAGGAUGGAAUGGGAGGACGGUGUGGUUGGGAUGGUGCGCGGCGCCCUUAGCCCCGGCGAGCCAUGCCUCUCUCUGUCCAGCAUGCACGGCGGCGGCGCCGUUAUCCCCCGGCGAGCCGUGGCUUUCUUUCUGUCCUGCAUGCGCGGCGGCGGUGCCCUUAUCCCCUGCGAGAAAAGCCAUCCCUUCGCCCCUUGCGAGAACGCCUCCAGCACCUCGGACUCCGGGCACGCCUCCCCUGCCACGUGUGCCGCCAACAUGGCGACCUCGACUGGAUGGGCUUAGGCGCCGCAACCUGAGAGCAGAUCAAGGAGGAGGGCGAGGACGACUCUGUGGACCUCCGUGGCCAGCUCCGCUGCGCAGGAGCCUGUGCAGGAGGCGCCUCGCCGGCCACAUGCGCCGCCGGCAUGGCGAACUCGACCAGAUUGCCUUACAGGAUGGACUUGACUACUUGAGCGCUCCUAAACCGGACCGAGCCGCGCGCGACGGACUCCAGCGGCGCUUCCCCACCGAGCUGCUGCCAUCACCGGCGGCGACGCCCUAGCCUUCAUCCUCCCCGUCAGCGUAGCCCCACACGGCCACAAUGCCCGUAGAUGCUCGUCAGGCACCGCACAGAAACUGUUUGGUGGAAUGCCUAUAUAUAAGAGAAAAAACAGAUGGAGGGAGAUGUAUUUUUUUAUUAGAGAAGAGAGAUCACAAUGACAUGCGGGGCCAUGUCUAUUUUAACGGUCAACCAAACUUCAGUCGAACGCCGUUAGUUUUUGUUGCCAUGUCAUCACUUAUAGUGGGACCUACUUGUCAGCUUUAGAGUCAGCAAGUGUCUAUCUGAGCGAUCAGUGUUUUUUGAAAACUGUCAGCACAAUAUUGGUGGUUUUUUGAAAAAAAAUCGAAUGGUGGUGGUUUUGUGAAUUAGGGUCUCUAAUUAUGAUGGUUUUUUGCAAUUUACUCGGCCUCCCAAGGGCGGAGCCAGCGUUGUGGCGUUGGGUUCAGUUGAACCCAACGAAAUUUUCCUGCCACGCACCUGCACAUAGGGUAGUUGUGCGCAUGAACCCAAUAGAAAUUCAGGGAUGCACCCAUCGGAAAGUUGGAAUAGACAAGCUGGAAGCCUUUUAGUCCACAAACUUUGAACAUGAGUAGCCCAGCUAAGGCCCAUGAUUAAACCAUUACUACUUUGGUGCGUGUCUCAGAUGCCACAUCUCAUACAAUCGUACGGGCCAGGGCACACGUCUCGUGAAUUGACUUUCGCUUUCCCAACACCACGCCUGUCUUUCCUCUAGCCGCCUCUCCCGUAACCCGCUCGCCCGUCGCGGUAUCGGCGCAUCGCCUGCGGCGACCGGAAGUCGGCAGCAGCAGGUCGGCAUGCAAUCCCAAUCCCAUCGUCACAUUUUCUUUCUCGAUCGUAUGAGUUAUGAAUGUUUUAUUUUACCACCACCAAACGAACCACCCUCAACCACACGCCGCAAACUGAAGCCGUCGUUUGGGUCUUCAAGAUGACGCCUCCAAAGUGGUAGUGUUGUCGAGGGCACAACACCGUCAUCUGAUCCGGCAAGCCCAAUCUUAGGUUUUCACCCGGAGACCACAAAACAAAGUAUUGUAGGUGCUGGAGCUCCACAACGGCACCUCCUGCGAGGAAAACGACACCCAUAGACACCGUUGCCGCCGACAUCAACAUAGUCGAUGUAAGGUUCUCACCUGGAGUUUGAGCACAUUCCUACAGCAUGACGACAACCGACCACCACCACCAUCGAACCCUGCUUCUUUUGGGUUGUUGUCGUAGACUAUCUUUGUCUUUUGGCUGUUGUUUGUUUUGGUGGGAUUCUCUUUUCUUGGUUGGGCUUGCCCACGUUACUAACUCUCUGUGCCUUUUCCUUUUUCAUCUGUGUUCCUUUUUAUUUCAUGAUGAAAUAAACUAAGUCAUUCCACAAGUGUCUAGUAUACAUAUUCUAUCCAUCUGAGUAAUAUAAGGCCAUCCAAGUAUUUUUUCAUCGGUGCUAACAUAAAAUUUGUAAAACCAUUUUUUAUAAUGAAACCUUUCCCAAAUGUAAUAGCGAUGUUUUCAUUUUCAUAUUCUUUAUUAUCGAUACCUCACUUCAUAAACAUGUGGUCAUGUUCACCAAGCUAAGUUUUUGCUUAGGGACAAGCUGACUACAAGCUUGGGGGUACUGAUACGUGCAUUCUGCAUCACCAUUUCGUAAAGUAAAUUGCACACGUAUAAUUGUGUUUUACAUAUUAUUGCAUCAUUUUACCCCCAAAUUCCUUUUAUUUUGCAAGUUUGCAUCGAAGGGGGGUGCAAGAAAACUAUUCAGAAAGCAGCAAAAAGCCACACAAGAAAAUGACUUUUCCAGAGCGAGGAAAAGCAAAACAAAUAUACAUAGGAAUUUUUCCGAUGAAAAGAAGCCUGGGCUAGGGUUUGACCGAUGGGCCCACAUGCCAUGCCCACGCGCCUCAGGCCCAAGGUGUGUGAGGCCCACUUGGCCUCCUCUUUGAAGCCCAUCAUCUUAUAUUGUUCCAAAAAUCCUAGGAGGAUUCUUAUCAUAUUUUCCGCUGCCAUGAUGGAAUAGAUAAUAAUUAUUGUGUACUGUGAAUAAUAAUCAUGGCAAAUCCAACAAUUAUAUGUUCAUAUAUACUCCCUCCUUGCUAAAUUAUACAUUAUGUAAUAUUUUAAAAACUAUGGAUGGAGAUAAAUAAUAUCUCCAUCAUUCUGCGAUGUUGCAUAAUUAGGGAUGGAGGUAAUAAAUUGAGUAAAAACGUGUUUUUUUGGUAAAUUCUGUCACAAACGUGAAACUGGGUAUGGGUAAAAAAUGGAAUUCACUCAAAAAAACAAGGCGGAUAGGUGGUGCUUAUGCAAACUGAGAUUUGAGUUUGGCUCUAUUUUUCUCGCAAAUUUUUUUUGCUCUUUUUUCUUGAGAAUCUCAUCCACUUUUUCUUUCCUCUAAUUCUGUGGAGGGAAACACGUGUGAUAAAAGGCAGUCAGACUCGGAUUAGGCCCACACCGACCCCCCUUGUUCGUUAUAUACCAGGGCCGGACCGCAGCACAGGCUUUUGAGGCCGUACCUUGUGAAGCAGCCCGCGUUUGUCCUUCCUCGGGCGGAAACCCUCGUCGCCGGAAUGGGAGCCGCCGCCCGAUCCCAUGCUCCUCCUAUUCCUCGUCCCUCCCGUCGGGCGAUGCGUGGAAGGACCACCUGUUCCUGUUGCGAGAGCGAAGGAGGAGGAGGAGACGAUGGAAGAAAACGGCCUCAUCAUCUUCUGAGACCUUGCUCCAGCCAGCCCCCCGAUUGGGGGUCCAAGCGCGCACGCACUGCAUGGAUUAUGACUGCUCCCAUCCAAUCUGAUUUGCUCUCCCCUGGCACGAGGACUGGUCUGAUCUAGACGACGGGCCAGCCGGGCUGAUCGCCGAGCGCGUCCUCGUGUACGACGUCGCCGACUAUAUCCGCUUCCGUGCCGUGUGCCGUGCAUGGCGGCAGUGCUGCACGGAACCGCGCUCCCACGGCGGGCUCGACCGCCUGUUCCAUCCCUGGCGGGUGGGUCCUGCUCCGCGAACCACUCGCUCCUCCCAACCGCCAUUGCUUCCUAAACUCCUCCACCGGCAAGUGCAUCCAAGUGGACCUACCAGAGCUCCUAGACCAUGAGCUGCUCGCCGUCACCCCCGAGGGCCUCCUCGUCCUGCUCCACGACCAUAACCACGUCCGCUGCUCAACCCGCUCACGUGUCACCUCAUGAAGCUACCGCCGCUCACCACGCUGCUGCCCUCUAAGGACCAUGUCAUGCUUUCCUAUUUCGACAUAGACUACUUCUUAGCGACGGGCUCGGGCAUUGCUAGUGAUGAUUCAACAGUAGUGCUCUGUUUCAAUACGCUGCGCAUGCUUGGCAUUGCCAAGCCCGGCGACGACAACUGGAUGUUGCUGAAGUACAACCAUGAUGGGUUCACAAAAACGCCCUUAAUGUUUGCAGGGCGCUUCUACCUCGUUAACGCUCAUGGUGUCAUGGUGCUCCAAAUCGGUCCAAACCAGAAACCACGGCUGGAGGUGGUUGCCAAACUGAAUAUGUGUGUCUCGCCGAUUUCGCAAAAUAUGCAGCUCGUCAACAAUUGUGGUCAGCUGAUGCUGCUGCACCGUCUGAUUGUACCAUUAAAGUCGCGGAAUAAUUGGGGCGAUCGAUACGACAUGUAUCGAGUGAACUUGGAUAAGGGGACACUGUUCCGCGUCAAGAGCUUGGGCGAUGGUCGCGCAAGGCGUGCGAUGUUCUUGGGCUUGUAUUGCUCUUUCUCGGUAUCUCUAGAGGUUUUCCCCUCUGGCUCCAUUAGUGUUAACACCAUCUACCCGAGCUUUGACUUCGACAAAAGAAGGUUAUUAAAAGUUGGAGCAUACCAUCUCCCGUAUGGACGCAUCGAAAGACCAUGUAGGUUGGUGCUAGGGCCGCAUACUCUCGUUGACUAUAUAGCUUUGUCCAACAUGGUCCAUGGAUGAGUAGUUUACCCCAUUUCCUAUGAUAAUUUAGCAUGCAUGGUUAUGGAAGAGGAUUUGUGGCUCUCGUGCCACACACCCCUAUGUGAGGAUAUGAAACUUGGGUGCCCGUUGUACACCCGUGUUCAACUUUGGAAUGCAUGCCCGUGAUAAUGUCAGUAAAAAAGACACAAAAAAAAAA
rnacentral:lncRNA from 1 species